AAAAAAAAAAAAAAAAACUGAUCCGUGUUACAAUCAAUGAUUUUGAAUUAUUCAGGUUGAUGCAGCUCUUGAUCCAAGUCACACACACAACAUAGGAAGAAGCUCAUUUCCCUCACUCGCAGGUCAAAAUAUCACACACACAACUAUUCAUCUAUGUGUGGCAAGCUUAAUAUUUUUGACCAUACAUAUAGAUAUAUUUUUUCAUAAAAAAAAAGGUCUAAAUAGAAGUAAAAAGAGUCUAAAAUAACACCAAUCUAUUUUUUUUUUGGUGCAAAAAAUAACACCAAUAAUCUAUGGCUAAUCCUUAGAUAAUGGUAAUAUGCUUGAACUUGGAUUGGAUUUACUAAGUGCUUCCUCGAUAUCCUCAUGAUAGUCCGGACAGUGGUUGCAUGUGCAUAUGCAGUUCUUGGCUUCCGACGAAGAUCUAUGUUCCUCAAUUAAACCUAGUUUAAAAAUUAGGUAUAGAAGAGCCAAUAGGAUUAAGUAGAAUAUACCGCCGAUCACAAAAAGAGCAACCUCCAGCAAUCCCCACGCCAUUGAAGGAAAUUAUUUAAUGGGAAAAUAAAGAAACGUAAAAUCUUCCAUUAGGCUGUGUAUUAUAUAUAUAUAUACUCGAGGAUUCAUUGGGUCAGAGAUUAUUUAGGAUCAGGAUACCUAUGAAUAUUCCACAAGAGUCUUGGAUUAUAUUUAUAUAUAUAAAUUCGUCAUUUAUCUUUAUAAAAUAAAGUAAAAGUUUUUUUUCUCCUAAGGAUAACACAACAAAGAUAUAUACGGUAUUUUCACAUAUGUCACAAGAUAGAUUUUGUAUCCUCUUUCGUGUUUCGAUAUAUCUUCAUAACACAAUACUAAAAAAGAUUUGCAUAUUGAUGGGAUGAACUUAAAGGAUUCUCGGAGAUCGUUAUGCGUAUCGGCUUGGAGAAUCGAAGCAAGGGUGCUCGAAUGAUAUAAGAUUUAUCGAUCAAAGACAAGUCAUACGUUGUGACUAGAUGAUGAAGAAAUAUAGCCAUCCCAAGCCUAGCAAACUCUGCUCCUGCACAUAGUCUUGCACCACCACCAAACGCCAUGAACGUUUUAGAGCCACAAAGCAAUUCCUUCCCCUCCCAUCUCCAUGGAUUAAACUCACAUGGUUGUUCAUAGAUUUGAGGGUCAUAAUGAAGAAGAGAUGGAACAACCAAUACAAUCCAUCCUGCUGGAAUUGUAUACCCUGCAACCACAAGACGAUUUUCAUUGGUAACAAACUUAUAGUUAUUUUCAUGACGCAAAAGAGAGACUCAAACUUGCCUUUGAUCUCCACAUCACUCACCACCUUUCUAAACAUAGCAGGUGACAAACUCCCUAAACGAAGAGACUCAUUGAUAACCUGCAAUUGCAACAAUCAACUAAAUGUUUUCAUCACUUAAUCGAUGUGCAACGAGUUUGGAAUUUCAUUUUUUUAACAAGUAUAUAAUAAGAAAACAAAAAGCUACCAUAUGGGUGAAAUUCAUCAUGGAUCUAUAUUCUUUCCAAGUAACUCCAGAUUCUUUAUCAGCUCUGUUUUGGAGGAUGAUCUAUAGUCAUGUUCGAGUAAGACAUUUAGGACAAUUUACUAAUAUCUAAAGUUUAACUCACAUAAUAGUAAUUAAUAAUUUAGUUUCGAAAAAAAAUUUACAUGAUUUAAGAGUAUUUAGAUAGAAUUGAUAAAUUGAGAUGAGAGUUAGAACAUUAAUACAGAAAAAAUUUGUGGAUUUUUAUUUAAAAUUUAAAUAUCAGGAAAAAAAUUUAAACAAUAAGAUGGAAUAUGUAGAAUUAAAAUUAUUAGCUCUUAUCCGUUAAGAUGGAGUUUAUCGAAGAAUUAAAAUAUUUCUUAUCAUGAAAUAAAUAGUUAAAUUGUAUUGCAAAAUAGAAUGUGUCAGAUUGAAAUUUGGUUAAAAAAUUAGAUUAAGUAUAAAUAAAUGUAUAAUACUAUUUGUAUUUCAAAUAUUAUCAAAAAAUUAUAUUUAUUUUUUCACAUCCGCCUAUUUAGGCGGGUCUUAUCUAGUUCAAUAUACAUGGAACUGGCAGGAAUAGGUUGCCACAAGUUUGGCGAGAAUUGAGUUGGAGGCUCAUAAGAGUAAAUGGAAGCAAAUUUUGUACAAAUUUAUGGUAGUUUGUUUUAUAAAACACCAUAUUUUAUACAAAUAUUGUCCUUUUGAAUAAUAUUUAGAAUUGGAAGUUAGCUCUUAAUGAAAGAUCAGUGAAUAUGGGAGCUUGUUUGAUAGAUGAUUCGGGAUCACAUAUGGCAAUCUUAUGUGGCUUUAGCCUUUAGGUCUCCAAAAAGUGUAGCGGUUCACAAUGCUCAAGAGGUUGCAAGGAUUGUGGUAAGUUUAAAUUAGUUAUCAUCAGCAAAUGCUCACAUGAUAAAAGAAAUAGUCUGAUUUAUGUUGACUUACUUACUAUGCUAUGCAUCUAGGUCAGACCAGUGGCUUGGCUUUCCUUGAUAUUAUAUCCUGUUGGAAGAGUAGUGACAUAUCUUUCGAUGGGAAUUCUGAAAAUUCUUUGUUUGAAAGGACGGAGGUAUGUAUCAAAUAAGAGUUGUCUGUCCAAAUCAAAAUAUAUUAGUGUGCUUUUUUCCUUGUUGAAAGAGAGUUAGGGCAACUUACCUAUAGUCUAUUUUUCUUUUUGUGCCAGUGAGCCAUAUGUUACUGAAGAUGAAUUGAAACUAAUGCUACGCGGAGCAGAAUUAAGUGGGGCUAUAGAAGAGGAAGAGCAGGUAUGAGUUUGUUAUAUAUGGAUUUUGGAUGAGUCUUUGGACUCUUUACCAUAGACUUGUGAUAAUUCAAAUGAUACAUGUUGCAGGAUAUGAUUGAAAAUGUGUUAGAGAUAAAGGAUACGCAUGUUCGAGAGGUGAUGACUCCUCUUGUUGAUGUAGUUGCAAUAGAUGGCAGCGGCAGCCUGGUUGAUUUCCAUAACUUUUGGGUGACCCACCAGUACUCGAGGUCUAUAAAUUGUCACUGCUUUAGUGAACCUUUUUCGUCCCUUAGGAUUAUUCAUUAUGCUCAAAAAAUUUCUUCACAGGGUGCCUGUUUUUGAGCAGAGGAUUGAUAACAUAGUUGGUAUUGCAUAUGCUAUGGAUCUGCUAGAUUAUGUUCCAAAGGUCUGGCUGCCUCAUUCUCUGUUUCUUGUAUUUGUUUUCUUUUCACUGAUGGCGUUCGAGGAGACCAUAGUUGUGCACUUAUGUAGAAUGAAUUUUAUAUGUUUUCUUCUGUUUUGUAGGGUAACUUGCUUGAAAGUACUACUGUGGUGGACAUGGCACAUAAACCUGCAUUCUUUGUCCCUGGUAAUCAUCGAUGCAUUCAAUCUUUUAAUUUAAUACCUAAACCUUUGACAUUUUUUGUUCACAUGGAAUAAACUUUGAUGCUCUGUCAAAUAAUUUGCAGAUUCAAUGUCAGUUUGGAAUGUUCUUAGAGAGUUUAGAAUAAGAAAGGUUCACAUGGCAGUUGUUCUUAAUGAAUACGGUGGAACCAUUGGAGUAUGUUGCUGGUUGUCCUCUUCUUAACUUUAUUUUUUCUCUCCUGCUCUCUUGAAAGGUUGUCUAAUUUCUCUCCAUGCAGAUAAUAACUCUUGAAGAUGUGGUCGAACAGAUUGUUGGUGAAAUAUUUGAUGAAAACGAUUCAAAGGUAAGUUCAUCCUAGUGUUUCAGCUUGUUGCUAUUCUUCAAGGUUGGGUUGAAUAGGAGGAGAUUCAGAACAAAACGGGUUAUAUAUGAGAGCGGAGUAGAUUUAAAUUUCUCACUGCCAUUGUUUUGGGCUCAAUAGGAGGAGAUUCAGAAGAAAACGGGUUACAUCGUGAUGAGAGCAGAAGGGAUAUAUGAUGUUGAUGCCAACACUUCGAUUGACCAGUUAUCUGAAGAACUUAACAUAAAGAUGUUAGAGGUAAUAUACUCUGUUGCUGUGUCUUUAGUGUGUCCCUCUAGAAAGCAGAACCGAUCUUUAAGAUUACUUGUUGGCAGAGUAUAAACUAUCCUUGUUCCCCUUUUUGCAAGGCCAUCAGUAUGAGACAGUCUCAGGUUUUGUCUGUGAGGCCUUUGGGUAUAUCCCAAAGACAUGUGAGAGUGUGACGGUAGUUCUUGAAAAGGAAAACUGGGAAGAGAAUGAUGAACAAGAUGAGGGUAAACACGAGAGUCAAGAUCAGAAGGAAAAGCACCAAGUUUAUAGACUAGAGGUACAUCGACUCAUAGUACUACUUCCCCUUGCACCACAUUCUGCAAAAUGCAUAAUUUAUUCUCUAACUACAUUUGUUGAUAGAUACUAGCAGGGAAUGCCAGAAAAGUGAGUACAGUCCGGUUCGAACGAGUUAAUAAUAUGGAUGAAGUGUCAGAGGCGCGAGAUGUAAAAAACAUGGUUCCCAAGUUCGUAAGAAAAUGGAGCAGUGAGGAAGAUACCGAUGGUAAUCUCCAAGCCAAGAAUGCCGUCUUUGAUGAGCAUCUAAUUGCUGAAACUGAAAGUAUGAAGAAAGAAUAAUGAUAAAAGAGGAGGAGACAGAGGAUGAAAUAAAGGAUGAACAAUACUGUUGUAAGUUUUUUAACUGAAAGAGGAUUAGUUGCUUCUUACAUUCAUCUCUUGUUUACCAAUAGUGAGAUAUAUCUUCAUAACACAAUACAAAAAAGAUUUGCAUAUUGAUGGGAUGAACUUAAAGGAUUCUCGGAGAUCGUUAUGCGUAUCGGCUUGGAGAAUUGAAGCAAGGGUGCUCGAAUGAUAUAAGAUUUAUCGAUCAAAGACAAGUCAUACGUUGUGACUAGAUGAUGAAGAAAUAUAGCCAUCUGAAGCCUAGCAAACUCUGCUCCUGCAAAUAGUCUUGCACCACCACCAAACGCCAUGAACGUUUUAGAGCCACAAAGCAAUUCCUUACCCUCCCAUCUCCAUGGAUUAAACUCACAUGGUUGUUCAUAGAUUUGAGGGUCAUAAUGAAGAAGAAAAUGGAACAACCAAUACAAUCCAUCCUGCUGGAAUUGUAUACCCUGCAACCACAACACGAUUUUGAAUUGGAUCAUUGGUAACAAACUUAUAGUUAUUUUCAUGACGCAAAAGAGAGACUCAAACUUGCCUUUGAUCUCCACAUCACUCACCACCUUUCUAAACAUAGCAGGUGACAAACUCCCUAAACGAAGAGACUCAUUGAUAACCUGCAAUUGCAACAAUCAACUAAAUGUUUUCAUCACUUAAUCGAUGUGCAACGAGUUUGGAAUUUCAUUUUUUUAACAAGUAUAUAAUAAGAAAACAAAAAGCUACCAUAUGGGUGAAAUUCAUCAUGGAUCUAUAUUCUUUCCAAGUAACUCCAGAUUCUUUAUCAGCUCUGUUUUGGAGGAUGAUCUAUAGUCAUGUUCGAGUAAGACAUUUAGGACAAUUUACUAAUAUCUAAAGUUUAACUCACAUAAUAGUAAUUAAUAAUUUAGUUUAAAAAAAAAUUUACAUGAUUUAAGAGUAUUUAGAUAGAAUUGAUAAAUUGAGAUGAGAGUUAGAACAUUAAUACAGAAAAAAUUUGUGGAUUUUUAUUUAAAAUUUAAAUAUCAGGAAAAAAAUUUAAACAAUAAGAUGGAAUAUGUAGAAUUAAAAUUAUUAGCUCUUAUCCGUUAAGAUGGAGUUUAUCGAAGAAUUAAAAUAUUUCUUAUCAUGAAAUAAAUAGUUAAAUUGUAUUGCAAAAUAGAAUGUGUCAGAUUGAAAUUUGGUUAAAAAUUUAGAUUAAGUAUAAAUAAAUGUAUAAUACUAUUUGUAUUUCAAAUAUUAUCAAAAAAUUAUAUUUAUUUUUUCACAUUCGCCUAUUUAGGCGGGUCUUAUCUAGUUCAAUAUACAUGGAACUGGCAGGAAUAGGUUGCCACAAGUUUGGCGAGAAUUGAGUUGGAGGCUCAUAAGAGUAAAUGGAAGCAAAUUUUGUACAAAUUUAUGGUAGUUUGUUUUAUAAAACACCAUAUUUUAUACAAAUAUUAUCCUUUUGAAUAAUAUUUAGAAUUGGAAGUUAGCUCUUAAUGAAAGAUCAGUGAAUAUGAGAGCUUGUUUGAUAGAUGAUUCGGGAUCACAUAUGGCAAUCUUAUGUGGCUUUAGCCUUUAGGUCCCCAAAGUGGUUACAUAAUUUUUUGAAUCAAUUAUGAAUUUGCCAUUUUUUGAAUAAUCUUUGUUGAGUGUGCCAUUUUUUUGAAUAGUUUGUGGAUUUGCCAUUUUUCAAGCAACAAAAAAAUGAUUUAACAGUUAACAUUAGUAUUACUCUUUAUGUUUGGGUUUAGUCUAUUCUAUUUGUUUUUAGGGUUUAGUAUUUGGUAUAAAGUAUGUAUUUUGCACAAAAAAAGUAGUAAAUACAUAUAUUUGGUAUUUGGUAUAAAGUAUAGCAUUUUCGUAAGAUUUUCUAAAAAAAAUGUAUUUUUUCUACAAGAAUCCCUAAUUUCUUUUUUUUUUGGAAUGUAGGCAUGUAGCAUUACAUAAGGGGUUAGUUCUUGUUUAUACCACUGUAUUGUUGAACCCUUUGUCGUCCAAACAAGACACGCAUUGGUGAGAGCUUCACAUUUGCCGUUGUCGGUUGUUAUUGUUGGUUUGGGAAACAGAGACUUCACACAAAUCCAGGAGGUACACAUUUUUUUUUUUAGUUUUUCUUCUUUUUUUGGGUUUAUUUGAUCUCUCUUUCAGUGAAUUGGAAGUACACCAUCUUGGACUCGCUUAUUGCAUUAGUAUCUUUCUCUGCCGGCGGAUUGAUUCCGAUGCUCUGUGGCAUGCUUGUGAAACCUCGAAUUCUAAGGAUUGUGUUUCUGGUGAUUUCCUGUGAUUUUGUAAAAAUAACUACAAAACUAAAAAAAAAUUAUUUAUGAGUUAUAAUUUUUUUUGGUUAUUACAAAAAUCACCUUUUUAUUUAUGGGAAUUUGUGUGAAUAAUCCGAAAAAUAACUAAAAAUCUAACCAAUUAACCUAAAUCUAAUGGUCAUGAUUAUGCCACAUAUGCUAAUAUCAGUUAGUUGCUUAAUUAUUAUUACUAGAUUUACUCGUCCGCGCGUUGCGUGGGAUAUCAACUUUAAACUGGCAACAAUACAAAAUGUUAAAAAUAAUUAUAAUCAUUUGAAUUUCAAAACUAUACAUAUUCAUACUUGUUUUACAAAACAGUACACAACAUAAAAAUUAUCAAAAAUAUUUAGUAUAUACCACGUAAUAACAAAAGUAAUAUUAGAUGAAUUGGUCUCGGUAGUCAUCCAUGAACUUUUGUCAAAAAGAGAGUUUAUUCCAUAAUCAAAUCUUGUAAGUAUAUCUAUCUCGAAAUUUUAACAUAAUCAUACCCCAUAAUAAAAGUAAAUUUGCUGAGUUUGAAUAUCAAUUUCAUGAAAAUGUAUAAACGUAAUAUUCAUGCUGCUUCAAUAGAUUUGGAGAGCACAAUUUACCUAUUGAAGCAAGACAAUCAUGCAUUAAGAGAUUUUUUGAUAAAAUCAUGAAUGUCCUUAUCUUAUCUUAUCUAUCCUACAACACUUUAUUACAUGGUUCAAUGAUUUAACUCAAUGUUGAAUAUGAUAGUCUGGUUUACUAAAUCAAACUAUCCGAUAGUGCAUCAAUAUAUCCGAUGAAUUUACUUAAGUCAUGUGCAUACAUAUAUCCGAUGCUUCAAGCAUUAGUCAAUUCCUCUUCAAACAUUUUUUUCUAUCAUUUUUUCGUCAUCUUCUAUGAUGCACUUGUUUGCCUCCCAACAUCUACUCUUCUUUUAUCUUAUAUGCUCAUUUACAUAUAAUAAAACUUUGAAUUCAUUCUUAACUUAAAACUAUUUUCUCAUUUUCUUCUUCUUUUAAUUAUAUAAUUUUCAUGUUUGAGUGUAAUAUACUUUUACGGAAGAUAUAUAUUUAUGAAAAUUGUCUCAACACUUAUUUAAAUUUUUACCUAUAUUUAAAUAUUUUCACUUUUUUUUAUCUAGAAAGAAAACAAUAAUAUAAAUAUAACUAUAUUAUUUUAGUUGUUAUAUAUUUACUAUAAUUUAAUAUUAAGAUACAAUCAAUCUUUCUAUUUUUUCGUCAAUGUGAAUUUAUACUUUUACUUUCUUGAAAUAUAAUUUCCAAUUUUAAAAAUGAAUUAUUUCUUAUAUCUUAAGAAAACUUAUACAAUCAUAAGUUUACUAUAACAUUUAACCAUUUAUUUUUAAUCUAAAAAUAUACUAUUUUAAAUAGAUUUCUUCCACUUCAUUAUCAUCUCUUCAAGUUAAUGUUUCCAACAAAUAUGAAUAUCUUCUUAUUAUUAAAAAAAAACUCUUAUAGUCUUCCAUUUCAAUUCAAUUCAAUUCUUUUGUUCAUCCUAAAUUAUAUUUGAGGUCUCCUUAUUAAUCUCAAAAAAAAUGAUUGUUUUUAAACGUUUUUUAUUUUUUUAUUUUUAAUAAGUUAUUAUUUUUUGUAAUUGUAUAAUAAAUUUCAUUAAGAAUCAUUUUGCCCUCUUAAAUAACAUUGGUAUUUCUAUGAAAUUUGCAUUAUUAUUUUCUAAUUUCUUAAUUAUAUAUUUAGGGAUUAUGUUCAUUUUAAGUUAUAUAUUAGCAAAAAUUUAAUUUUAAGUGUUUUAUAUGUAUAUAUGUUACACUUGUGUUAUUAUUAUUCAAGUAACCUUUAUUUAAAAUUAUGCAUUAAUUGAAAAUUACUUGUAUAGUAAAUUUCAUUAAGAAUCAUUUUGCCCAUAUUAAAUAACAUUGGUAUUUCUAUGACUUUUCAUUAUUAUUUUUUAUUUGUUAAUUAUAUAUUUAGGGAUUAUGUUCAUUUUAAGUUAUAUAUUAGCAAAAAUUUAAUUUUAAGUGUUUUAUAUGUAUAUAUGUUACACUUGUGUUAUUAUUAUUCAAAUAACAAAUAACCUUUAUUUAAAAUUAUGCAUUAAUUGAAAAUUACUUCUUAGAUAAUUAGAUGUAAUUAACUAUAAAAUUAAAUAUUUUAAAAUAAUUAUUGGUGGGAUCCAUCAUAUUAAUUUGGUGAUGAUGUGGACACCCUAAGAGGAGAGAGAACUCUCCUAUUAUAUAUAUAAAUUUUCUUGGGUUAUUAUAAAAUAACCCUUUAUAUAUUACAUAAUAUAGUUUUUUUUUGUCACCCAAUUAUAUAGCUUUUUACAUAAUAUAAUCGGGCUGAUGAUAUGUGUUAAAAUUUAAAUUUAAUUAAGAAAAAAUAAAAUCAAAAAUGGAAAACUAACUGAAUAAUUAUCAAGUAAGUAACCAAAUAUAAAAAGGCGAACCUGAUGCCUAAUGUUGUUGUCUACACAUCUCUUCUAAACGGGUAUAUGAUCAAAUGGAUAGAAGAUCUGAAAUGUUUGCUAUAUGCUGCAGGAAUUGAAGCUGACAACAUAAUGUACAGUGUUAUCAUUAGUGCUUUCCUUAAAGAAGGGCUGACGACAAAAGCAUUUGUGCUUGUAAGCUAAGUAUUUCAAACAUGCCAGGGUCUACUCGCUGUUUUUUUCUAAAAUGGGAGGCAGCUGAGAAGGUUAUGGUUCGACUAAAAUACGUUCCUGAUUCUUCGAGUGUGAAUAAAUGAUCGUUGCAUUUCCUCAAACCAAAUCAUGGAAGCCGAUGCUGCUACAUAAAGAUUUAAGACGGAAAGCCAAAAGCCAAAAGCAGAUAAAUUUCUUUUUCUUUGUGGCUAACAAGGAGACUGCAUGCUGGUUUUUACUUUGGACCUGAAGAUUAUUGUAGAAAGUAAUCGUGUCAAAAGGUAACACUGAUCCUAAUCCUCUCACUUUAACUGGGUAUAACCACACGAAUCUACUCGGUCUCAAUCUUGUGAUGGAUAAUAUUAAGGCUAUGGUGGAAUGGUUCUUUUAUAUUUGCUCACACUCACAGUGAUGUAUUUUAUGGUGUCAAAGAUUGCAGUUAGUGGUAGUAACAAGCAUUUGAUAAAUGGGAAGCUUGCACAACCUAGUCAAGUCCAGAAUCUUUUCCACUCUGUGCAGCUUAAUAAUGUCAACAAUCCACACUUUCUCAUCAUGCAAGGUAGAAUCACCAAAGUCUUAAACAUGAAACCUCCCGAGAUACUGUGGGUGCUGGAACAAGAAUGUAUGAAAACAAGAAAGAAAGAAUGUUCAACAGUAGAGGAAGAAGAAGAAGAAGAUGAGACAUGGAGGAGCGAGAUAGUAACAAGGGUGAUGAGAAUCGUGAGCAAGAGAUUGAUCUUUUUUACUCUGCUACCUUGAUGGUCUUAAGGUUCGUGUUUCCUUUGGAAGUAGUCUUUAUCAGAUGACAGCAGAGGGCAAAGUAAGUGUUGCUUCUCUUCAAACCGGCGCCUCCUUUAUAUAUUACAUUCACCUCUGCUUUUUCAUUCUCAGAUUGAUUUGUCAAAAGUUGUCGGUAAUGUAUCUUUCGUAAAAAACUGAUCCGUGUUACAAUCAAUGAUUUUGAAUUAUUCAGGUUGAUGCAGCUCUUGAUCCAAGUCACACACACAACAUAGGAAGAAGCUCAUUUCCCUCACUCGCAGGUCAAAAUAUCACACACACAACUAUUCAUCUAUGUGUGGCAAGCUUAAUAUUUUUGACCAUACAUAUAGAUAUAUUUUUUCAUAAAAAAAAAGGUCUAAAUAGAAGUAAAAAGAGUCUAAAAUAACACCAAUCUAUUUUUUUUUUGGUGCAAAAAAUAACACCAAUAAUCUAUGGCUAAUCCUUAGAUAAUGGUAAUAUGCUUGAACUUGGAUUGGAUUUACUAAGUGCUUCCUCGAUAUCCUCAUGAUAGUCCGGACAGUGGUUGCAUGUGCAUAUGCAGUUCUUGGCUUCCGACGAAGAUCUAUGUUCCUCAAUUAAACCUAGUUUAAAAAUUAGGUAUAGAAGAGCCAAUAGGAUUAAGUAGAAUAUACCGCCGAUCACAAAAAGAGCAACCUCCAGCAAUCCCCACGCCAUUGAAGGAAAUUAUUUAAUGGGAAAAUAAAGAAACGUAAAAUCUUCCAUUAGGCUGUGUAUUAUAUAUAUAUAUACUCGAGGAUUCAUUGGGUCAGAGAUUAUUUAGGAUCAGGAUACCUAUGAAUAUUCCACAAGAGUCUUGGAUUAUAUUUAUAUAUAUAAAUUCGUCAUUUAUCUUUAUAAAAUAAAGUAAAAGUUUUUUUUCUCCUAAGGAUAACACAACAAAGAUAUAUACGGUAUUUUCACAUAUGUCACAAGAUAGAUUUUGUAUCCUCUUUCGUGUUUCGAUAUAUCUUCAUAACACAAUACUAAAAAAGAUUUGCAUAUUGAUGGGAUGAACUUAAAGGAUUCUCGGAGAUCGUUAUGCGUAUCGGCUUGGAGAAUCGAAGCAAGGGUGCUCGAAUGAUAUAAGAUUUAUCGAUCAAAGACAAGUCAUACGUUGUGACUAGAUGAUGAAGAAAUAUAGCCAUCCCAAGCCUAGCAAACUCUGCUCCUGCACAUAGUCUUGCACCACCACCAAACGCCAUGAACGUUUUAGAGCCACAAAGCAAUUCCUUCCCCUCCCAUCUCCAUGGAUUAAACUCACAUGGUUGUUCAUAGAUUUGAGGGUCAUAAUGAAGAAGAGAUGGAACAACCAAUACAAUCCAUCCUGCUGGAAUUGUAUACCCUGCAACCACAACACGAUUUUGAAUUAGAUCAUUGGUAACAAACUUAUAGUUAUUUACCAAAGUCUUAAACAUGAAACCUCCCGAGAUACUAUGGGUGCUGGAACAAGAAUGUAUGAAAACAAGAAAGAAAGAAUGUUCAACAGUAGAGGAAGAAGAAGAAGAAGAAGAGACAUGGAGGAGCGAGAUAGUAACAAGGGUGAUGAGAAUCGUGAGCAAGAGAUUGAUCUUUUUUACUCUGCUACCUUGAUGGUCUUGAGGUUCGUGUUUCCUUUGGAAGUAGUCUUUAUCAGAUGACAGCAGAGGGCAAAGUACGUGUUGCUUCUCUUCAAACCGGCGCCUCCUUUUUAUAUUACAUUCACCUCUGCUUUUUCAUUCUAUUAAGCAUAUAAUUGUAUAUAGUUAUUUAGUAUAUACAGCUGUAAUUAUGUUUAGUAUAAAUACUCUUUGUACAGUACAUUUUCAGAUUAAUGAGAAAUCAUCCUUUCCUUUAUCUCUUAAUCUAAUAUGGUAUCAUCCUUCUCUUCAUCUCUUAUUUGCAAUCUCUCUGUUCCUGAGUCUAGUUCUCUUUGGCAUUUAAGGCUUGGUCAUCCAUCUUUCCCUAAGAUUCAAGUUUUAGCUGAAGAUCUCUCUAUUUCUAAAGCAAUGCUCAAAGAUUGGUCCCAUUGCAAGACUUGUCAUUUAGCUAAACAAAAACGUUUAUCUUUUCCUUCUCUUAAUAAUCUUUCUCAGAAACCUUUUGAUCUUGUUCACAUGGAUGUUUGGGGUCCUUUCUCUGUUAUUUCUCAUGAAGGUUUUCGAUAUUUUCUUACUCUUGUCGAUGAUUGUACUCGUGUCACUUGGAUUUAUCUCUUGAAAAAUAAAAAUGAUGUUUUACAAGUAUUUCCUUUUUUUCUCAAUUCUAUUGAAACACAACAUGCUACUAAAGUAAAGGCUAUUCGUUCUGAUAAUGCUCCUGAAUUAUCUUUUACAUCACUUCUUCAAUCUAAAGGCAUCUUUCACUACUUUUCUUGUGUUGAUACACCACAACAAAAUUCUGUGGUAGAAAGAAAACAUCAACAUAUUCUAAAUGUUGCUAGAGCACUUCUUUUUCAAUCAAAUCUUCCUCCUACAUAUUGGAGUGAAUGUAUAAGAACUUCUGUCUAUCUCAUUAACAGAACUCCUUCUCCUUUAUUACAAAACAAAACUCCUUAUGAUCUUCUCAUGAACAAAAAGCCUAAAUACUCUCAUUUAAAAAAUUUUGGUUGCCUUUGUUAUGCCUCUACUUAUCCAAAGGAUAGAAACAAAUUCUCUCCUCGAGCAGAAGCUUCUGUUUUUAUUGGCUAUCCCUCUGGUUACAAGGGCUAUAAAGUCCUCAAUCUUGAAACUCACUCAAUCUCUAUUUCCAGAAAUGUCAUUUUUCAUGAAGACAUAUAUCCUUUUCAGUCUUCUGAGCUUCCUUCUUCUACUUUAGAUCUUUUCUCCCCAAGCAUUCUUCCUCUUCCUAUCCCAGAUACAUCUCUUUCACCUCCUAUUUCCAUUUCUUCUGAAGUUUUAUCAAAUAGUAGUGGUUCUUCAGGGGAGUCAGAGAAUACUAUUCCUGUUAAUGCAAACAGGCCUAAGAGAAACACUCGUGUGCCAUCAUACCUUUCGGAUUAUCACUGCAAUUUGGUUCAGAAUAUACCAACUCCCAGUGGUAAUACAGCCCAUCCUUUGUCAUCUGUUAUUGACUACUCAAAACUGAAUCUGCACUAUCAGCAGUUUAUACUGAACAUUUCAACAGAGUCAGAACCAAAGACUUUUCUUGAAGCUGUCAGAUCUGAAAAAUGGCAUGCACCUAUGAAUGAAGAACUUCAGACUUGUGUUGAUACAGGCACUUUCUCUGUUGUCUCUUUACCUGAAGGGAAACAGCCUAUAGGUUGCAGAUGGGUAUAUCGCAUUAAGCAUAAUGCUGAUGGAACAGUUGACAGAUACAGAGCCCGUUUGGUAGCAAAAGGUUUCACACAGCAAGAGGGUGUGGAUUAUAUUGACACUUUUUCUCAAGUCGCUAAGCUUGUUACUGUCAAGUUACUACUGGACUUAGCUGCUAAACAUGGUUGGUCUCUGACUCAAAUGGAUGUUACCAACGCUUUUUUACAUGGAGAUUUAGAAGAAGAGAUAUAUAUGGACUUGCCUCCGGGUUAUACUCCACCACCAGGUCAAGUACUUCCUCCAAAUGCUGUCUGGAAACUUCAUAAAUCUCUGUAUGGCCUCAAGCAGGCUUCUAGGCAAUGGAACAAGAAAUUCUCUGAAGUACUGUUGAGAGAUGGCUUUGUUCAAUCAGAGUCUGAACAUACCUUGUUUGUCAAAUGUGUCAACAAUACUUUUAUUGCUUUAUUAGUAUAUGUUGAUGACAUUUUGAUUGCAAGUAAUAGUGACAUGGCUGUAUCUGAUCUCAAGGCCAUUUUAGCUGCUUCUUUCAAAAUCAAGGACCUAGGUCCUGCCAAGUACUUUCUUGGUCUUGAGAUAGCACGAAAUCAGUCAGGGAUCUCUGUGUGUCAACGUAAAUACGCUCUUGACUUGUUGGAUAGUGUUGGUCUUCUUGGCAGUAAACCAGUUGCUACACCAAUGGAUUCAACGAUUCAGUUAACUACAGAGAGUGGGGAUCUAUUACCUGAUGCUACUGUUUAUCGAGCUCUCAUUGGUAAACUUCUAUAUCUUACUAUAACCAGGGCUGAUAUUAGUUUUGCAGUUCACAAAUUGAGCCAGUUUUUGGCUCAACCAAGGACUGAUCAUCUUGCUGCAGCUCACCGUAUAGUCAGAUAUUUAAAAGGUGAUCCAGGCCGAGGUCUUUUCUACUCUGUUCAGUCUGAGAUCAGGCUGCAGGCUUUCUCAGAUUCUGAUUGGGGCACAUGUCAAGACACCAGAAGAUCUACUACAGGUUACUGUGUUUUUCUUGGCAAUUCUUUGAUCUCCUGGAAAGCCAAAAAACAACAAACUGCUUCCAGAAGUAGUGCUGAAGCUGAAUACAGGGCCUUAGCAGACACAACUUGUGAACUUCUUUGGUUAAGCCAACUUCUCAGAGAUCUUCACAUCAAGGUUACUGGUCCUGCAAACCUUUACUGUGACAGCACUGCAGCGAUACAUAUUGCUUCAAACUCAGUCUUUCAUGAACGCACCAAGCACAUAGAAAUAGAUUGCCACAUUGUUCGUGAUCGGUUGCGAGCUGGUUUUCUGAACUUGCUCCAUGUGACUACAGAUAAUCAGCUUGCCGAUUUGUUCACAAAAGCUUUGCCUCCAAAGACAUUCAAGAUGCUCAUGUCUCGUUAUGCUUUCUCAAGUCUCUUUCUUCCGGCUUGAAGACUUCGACUUGAGGGGGGGGUAUUAAGCAUAUAAUUGUAUAUAGUUAUUUAGUAUAUACAGCUGUAAUUAUGUUUAGUAUAAAUACUAUUUGUACAGUACAUUUUCAGAUUAAUGAGAAAUCAUCCUUUCCUUUAUCUCUUAAUCUAAUACAUUCUCAGAUUGAUUUGUCAAAAGUUCUCGGUAAUGUAUCUUUCGUAAAAAAUCUGCCUGUUGAGGCUAGUUCUCACCCUGCAAUUAUUGAUCAGGAUAAGGAAAAUAUUUACAGGGAGAAACCAAAGCUGGGGACACAAGCUGACAAGCCAGCUGUUGGCCAUUUGGUGUUGUUAUUAGGAGACUCAAGCAAAGCUGCAGGGAAAAAAGCUGUGGUUAUGAGUGUUGAUAACGAGAAUGGUAAGGUGUCUGAGGCUGAGCCUGAUUCGUCAGACGUUGUUUCAAGUGAGGAAGGUGAGAUAUCUGAGGAUGACAUCUUAUCCGAGGAAGAGCAUGAAUACUUGGAAGUAGUUUCAAAGAGAAAUCGGCGAAACUCCAGGGGCUAUGGCCCUAAAACCCAGUAAUGUCUAUGUAUAGAGACAUCUUUUGUUGGAAUGUCCGCGGAUUCAAUAAGCAAUCACACCGGAGCGGAUUUAAAAAAUGGUGUUACGGUAAUAGACCUAUUUUUGGUAGUCUCAUUGAGACACAAGUCAAGCAGGCAAAGAUUGCUAAGUUUGUUAACUCUCUUCUUCCUGGCUGGCAUUUUGAAGAAAACUACUCUUUUUCUGAAUUGGGCAAGAUUUGGAUCCUUUGGCACCCGAGUGUAAAGGUGGCUGUUAUUAGUAAAUCUCUUCAAAUGAUUUACUAUGAAUAUUUAGGAUCAGGAUACCUAUGAAUAUUCCACAAGAGUCUUGGAUUAUCUUUAUAUAAAUUCGUCAUUAUCUUUAUAAAAUAAAGUAAAAGUUUUUUUUCUCCUAAAGAUAACACAACAAAGAUAUAUACGGUAUUUUCACAUAUGUCACAAGAUAGAUUUUGUAUCCUCUUUCGUGUUUCGAUAUAUCUUCAUAACACAAUACUAAAGAAGAUUUGCAUAUUGAUGGGAUGAACUUAAAGGAUUCUCGGAGAUCGUUAUGCGUAUCGGCUUGGAGAAUCGAAGUAAGGGUGCUCGAAUGAUAUAAGAUUUAUCGAUCAAAGACAAGUCAUACGUUGUGACUAGAUGAUGAAGAAAUAUAGCCAUCCCAAGCCUAGCAAACUCUGCUCCUGCACAUAGUCUUGCACCACCACCAAACGCCAUGAACGUUUUAGAGCCACAAAGCAAUUCCUUCCCCUCCCAUCUCCAUGGAUUAAACUCACAUGGUUGUUCAUAGAUUUGAGGGUCAUAAUGAAGAAGAGAUGGAACAACCAAUACAAUCCAUCCUGCUGGAAUUGUAUACCCUGCAACCACAAGACGAUUUUCAUUGGUAACAAACUUAUAGUUAUUUUCAUGACGCAAAAGAGAGACUCAAACUUGCCUUUGAUCUCCACAUCACUCACCACCUUUCUAAACAUAGCAGGUGACAAACUUCCUAAACGAAGAGACUCAUUGAUAACCUGCAAUCGCAACAAUCAACCUAGUGGUUUUAAUUACUGAUCGAUGCGCAACAAGUUUGAAUUUCAUGUAUUUAACAAUUACAUAAUAAGAAAACAAAAAGUUUACCAUAUGGGUGAAAGUCAUCAUGGAUCUGUAUUCUUUCCAAGUAACUCCAGACUCUUUAUCACCUCUAUUUUGGAGGAUGGUCUCAUGCUCUCUCUGUUUUAACAUAAAUUAGCUUAAGCAUUCUCAUUUUAAAGAACAAAAGAUUCAAAAUUCUCAACUACUUCUUCACUAAAGAGUUCUCUCUAAGCAAGUUACCUUCAGCUCCAUAAGCACUUUGGGGUUUUCAGCUAUGAAUUUCACAGUUAGUGCAGUCAUUGUAGAAGUAGUUUCAUAAGACGCAAUCAGUAAACUUAGUAUUAGCUCUACAGAUCUUUCCUCGUUCACCGUAUCGCCUUCUUUCUCCACCUCAUAUAUCAUCGUCUCCAUGAAGUCUCCAUAUUUUAAUUCAUCCCAUGUUCCUUCUUCUCUCCUCUCUUUGAACAUUCUUUUUAUCAUCUUCAUCACAUUUCUGCGUGCCUUUACAUUGGAAAGUGGAUGCAGGGUGUUAAUAACCAGAAAAAAUCCUUGAGCUGACGAGUUAUGGACAGAGAUCUUACCUUAAGUCCAUUGUAAAGAGCGUUCCAAAAAGAAGGAUCAAAAGGGGACAUAACCAAGUCGAAGCUGAAAUCUCUAAAGCUUUCUAUCAGUUUGAUCUUAGUCUCAGGUUUGAUGUUACUUAUGAUCAUCUGGAUCAUUUGUUCCAAUAUCAACUGCAAUACAACAAAAAGUAAACCUCAUCAAAACAGAAAAGUGAGUAAGGUAGACAUUUGAUUGCUUAAACUAGAUGGACUUAGGGCUUAUUAUACUCUUCCACUAGUGUCUUUGACGUCUAAAACGCCUUGGAAGGAGACAGAUUUGAGAUGCUCGCGUGUAGCUAUGUCGAUUUGUUGUAUAAAUCUCUGCUUCAAACGUUCAGGGCCAAGAAGCUGCAGAGCAAUCUGUCUCAUGUACCUGUGGAAGUCCUUUCCUUGCUUGAAGAACAAGUUAUCUUUCCCAAAGAUUCUAACAAGAGCUUCUGGAUAGCUCAUGAUGAAACCCCUGUUGUCUUGUUUGAGAAUCUCAAAGUUCACUUCCGGGUCUGUCGAAACAAUCGUUUUAGAGCCAAGGAUACUCGUCCGGAACAACGAACCACCGUGCCUGAAGCAAAAACCAGAGAGAUACAUUAGAGAAGAAAGAAGAGAAAUGAGGCAGAAUCUUGAAACCUGCAGAUUUAAUAAAAACCAACUUGAACAUUCUUUUCUUGACAAAUGGAUGGAUUUCGUCGAAACUGUAAGGUUUGAAGAACUCAAUGGUUUCUCCGAUCACCGGAAACCCCAUUGAACCCGGAGGUAGCUUGCCGGAGCAGUUAGGGUUAGCCCAUCUAUAGAGCCAGAGACUGAUCUUGACGACCACUAAAGCUAUAACAACACUCAGUGCAACACCCCACAUUUCUUUCUUAAUAUCUUAACUAAUGAUUGGUAACCACCCUAUAUUGUUCGUAUGUAUAAAUAGCUUCAUAUUUUGAGGAAGCAACAUGCAAAAAAACCAAAUCUUACAAUACAAAUAAGUAAAAGAAAUACAUAACUUCAACUAUAAAGUUUUUAUUUACUUUGUGUUUGCUUUGAUAUUUGUAUAUAAAUUUUAAUCCAAGUUAGUUGGCCAACUAUGAGAGCUUGACGACCACCAAAGCUAUAACAACACACAAUGUAACAGCUCACAUUUCUUGUGCAAUUAUUAAUUAGCUAUUAGUAAACACUGAUUUUGUUCACAAGUAUAGCUUCAGAGUUUGAAGAAGCAAUUUGCAAGAAAGCCAAGUGUUACAAGUUAUAAUACUUUUAACAUAUUUAAAUUAAUAACACUAGCUAUAAAAUUGUGUACAAUUGGUAUCUCCUACUUUUGAUGCUUGUCAUAUUUUUUUUGUAGAUAAUAUCUCACAGACAGACAUAUAAGUCAAGGAGCGUUUUCCUUGUUUGGACCAAUUGGGUCCUUUCAGUCCAACCUCAUAAACUCAAUCUAGACAGAAAGGUAGAUGUGUUAAACCAAAAUGCUUACAUCAAAAGAGAGUGCUCUUAAAAUGUUACAUAUAAAAUGAAAAGGAAUCAAUCAAUGGCAUUAGAGGUAGGCAGAAAACAUAAUUUUCCCGCCAAAAACGUAAAUUAAUAAUUUUUCCGCCAUAAAUUGUGACUUCGAAAAUUUUCUGUCAAAAAUGUGAAUUUGCAAUUUUUCUGUCAAAAACGAGAAUCUCCAAUUUUUACGCCAAAAAUUGUGAAUCCACAAAUUUUCUACCAAAAAUAUGAAUCUGCAAUUUUCCCGUAAAAAAUGUUAUUUCACAUUCUUCCCGCCAAAUGAUGGUGAUGAUGAUGAUGAUGAUGAUGAUGAUGAUGAUGAAUGUUUAUUUUUUAUGGUAAUUAUUAAUUAAUUUAUCACUUUAAUGGAUUAUUCCAUUUAACCAUUUAAUCCAUCAAAUUAAAUGAGUUCAUGAGUUGACCUUAUUCAUUAAACAAAUAAGUUCGGUCAAUUCAUGAACUCAUUUAACUCUAAAAUCAUUGGAUAAUGAGUUGAGUUUAGUUGGGUUAUCUAUUUGACACCCCUACUAUUAAUAAAACAGUUGAGGAAAAGAAUAUUAAAAACGAAACUCUUCUCUCUAUGUUCUUCAUUUCAUUUUGAAACAUAAACUAAACAGAAAGAAAAAAAGCUCUCGGGAGUGGAGAAAAAUGGAGAAGCGCGAAUGGUAAGAUUUCUCACAAUCUUUUGAGUUUUCAUAAUCUGUGCAGUUGAGUUUGAGCUGAAUUCAGAUUGAGUUUGAACUGGAUUCAUAUAGAGUUUGAUUUUGAUAUAAAGAUGAUUAUACUAGUGUUUAAAAACUUCUCUGAAUCUCUUGUUUAUUAUCAUGUCGAGAUCUGAUUUUGACCUAGUUCAAUUUUGAGGUUAAUUUCGAGUUUAAUUUGAUUCUGAGUCUAAGUGCUGUAUCAAAUGAUAAAUCGAGAUUGAUUGCAAAUUUGAAUGUUAAUUUUGAGGUUGAUAGCGAGUUCAAAGUUAAUUUUGAAGUUGAUUACGAGUUUGAGUGCCAACGAGAGUCCAAAUUUCUGAGAAUUUUUGAAGAAUUUGUAGAUCUACAUGAUUUCUUAAUUUCAUCACUGAUAUUGAUGGAGAUCAAGUUUGAUUUGGAUGUGUAGAUAAUCAGUGUUUGUAUUUGUGUCGAAUCUUUAUUUUGUGUGGUUUGAGAGGUUGAAUGACAAAUCUGUUGCUUACGUACGUUUGAUUUUUGUAGAACCCAAUUAUGUGAAGAGGAAUAAGAAACGCAAAUCCUAUGGUAAAGCUGCUAAACUUUAGUUGUUUAUAGAAUAUUAAAACCGAGUUUCAUUCUUUUGAACUUGUUUACUUGUCAUAAAAUUUUAUAUCAAAUUUACUCCAAAGACGAGAAAUGCAAGCAGAAAGGCGCAAAGGAAUGGUCAGAGGGGUUAGAUGAAUGAUGAAGCAGAACAUAUAAGUCUUCCUGCACAGAGAACUGGUGAAAAUAGUUAGAAGUGUUUCUUAUUGAUAAUUCUGAAACAAAUUUAUAGAGGUUUCAAUUGGUAACUAUUAAAAGAACAAAAAAAUGAAUAAAAAAAAACAAUGCGGGAUAGAACAAAGGGAAUUUGGUCAACUCUACCACAUUUGACCAAAAUCUUUCCACUUCUACCACAUUUGAUAAUCUUCCACUCAUACCACAUUCAUGUGGUAUUGUGGUAUAAAAAAUACAGUUUUGCCCUCAGCUGAUGUGGCAGAUAAAGUGCAAUAAACCUAUUCGGUGAUAAAAAUCAAAUGAAAUAUAAACAUCAAACAAAAUGAAAAGACCGCAAUUAGAAUUUACGAGAAACAAAAUCGAAGAACAAUGAAUUAAAAUCGAUGGACAAAAACCAGCUAACAUGCAAAAAUAAGAUGAAAUUGUGGAAGGCUCAAACUUCAGGGACAACUGUAUGUAAACUUCCUUUUGUGUACUCAAACAAUGAAUUUUGUUUCCGAAAUUUGAGCACACAAAAUAAGGGUAAAAUGGUCAUUACACACGACAAUUGUGGUAGAAGGUUCAAUAAAUCUUUUUACUGUUAUCUAAUUCCAAAAUAACAACAUAUGGAACAAAAAGUAAUUAAUUAAGGGUUUAGCAUGACACACAUCACCAAACUUCUGCAGAUUAACCCAAAUAUUUUGACCAGUAGAUUAAUAACCAACAAAAUGAUUAAUCUACCAAAUCUUACUAAAGUAACAAGGCUUUUAUUUGACCCCCUUGAGAAUGUCAACGACGUAGCUAUCCUGUCCUCCAAUUAUUCUAGAUUGGCAAUACUGUUUCCAAAUAAUACAUUUUACACCUGCAAAGCCUGAUGUAACACAAAGAUGAAUCAUAAUAAAGCAUAAAUCAUCAAUGAGCUCCAUAAAUAAAUUAAACAGACACAUAGCUCUGCAAAUUGACAAUUUUUUGUGCUUAGAUAUGGAGUUGAUGCUCAAAACACCUACAUAUUUUUGAGCAUCAAAUACAUUAAUUAGAUAUAAAGGUGAAUUAUAAAACACAAAUUAUCCAUUACACAUUGCUCCGUAGCUUGACCAUCUUUUGCCCUUUGGUAGUUAAUAGGAAUGUGAAACUAGUAAUGUUAUUAUGUUAAUAUGGUCUUUAAGCCCGCAGGCCUAAACAUGCUUUAUACACUAUGUGAAACUAUAUAUAUAUAUAUGCUGAUAUGCACAUCUCUUUGAUAUUCUCGAAGAAGCUAUCUCAUCUUUCUAUUACCACAGAAAGUCAAUCAAGUCUCUCACACAAUUCAUAUUACCACAGAAGCUAAACAACCGACGUCGUUUGUCAAAAAAAGGAAGCAUAAAAUAAAAGUAAUAUUUAAUAAACCCUAGAUGCAUCAUGCAUGCUCGAUUUCGUACACACCAAGAUUGCGCUACUCUUGUAAUUAUAAGUUAAUAAAGGAUUCAAAAAAAUAAGUAACUUUCUCAUAAUUGAGUUUAAUUAUUUUUUCCAUUCUAAUAUGAAUUUAAUUACAUAACACAUUUUUUUGUCAUGUUCAUAUUGUUUAUCUAACCAAAAAAAAACAAAUCACAAUUACAGUAGAUAUACCAAUGUUAUUUCUGAUAAACUCAUGAUUCAUAAUUAGAAAUUAGUUAUUUUUAUAAUUUAAACAUUGAAAUAAAACAAAAUAAAACUUGAAAGACUUAUAAGAUUCUUUAUUUAAUUUUCGUAAAAUAUUUUACCUCUACUUCGUUAUAAUGCAGGUUUUUGUUUUGAAACUUUUAAAAAUGUUUCAUGUUUAUGUUCUUAAUUGUGUUCAAUAGUUGGUGUUUUAUGUAGUUAUAGAUUAUUAAUUUAGUACUGGACGUUUUUUUAUUAUUAGUUUACAGUACGUUGUAAACUAAAUUUCUAUAGUAUUUCACACUUAGUUUACCAACUAAAAAGUUAUAAACCUCUUUUGUAAUUUAGUUUUGGAGAAACCUAGCUUUUUAGGUUUAGGAGUUGGAUGCAUUUAAACUUAAUCUGCCGUUCUUCCAUUGUGUUUUUAGCAACAAAAUCCAAAAAUCAAAAACCCAAAAAAAAAAAAAAAACAAAUAGAAAAAAACCAGAGUCAUAACAAGGAUUGGAAAUGAAAACACUACACCUCUUCUAAAUCGAUACUUGUCUAAUUUCCUUCAGCGAUCAAAGAGUUAACCUCAUGGAAAAACCUUGUCUUUAGCCACAAAUAUUCAGAUUCUUUUUCUUUGAGCAACUUGAACUUCUCUUCGAGCUCCUUCUUCAUCUUCAUCGAUACCAUGCUCCAUCUCUGUUUCACGACAUCUUCAGCCACCCCAAAGCUCGCAAUUGAUCCUACAAGAGAAGAAUUUACGAACCAAUCUAAUACCUUUUCUUCAUUGGGUUUCAAAGACUCCUCCUUCACCUUAGUAGAUUCCCAAAUCAAUUUGGAAAGUUGAAAACAUUUCAGGUCGUGAGCCUUUGCAAAAGAUUUCUCAUCUGCACCCUUGUUCCUCUUUCGGAGAUACUUGUCCUUUAAGCGACGGAUCUUGGUAGUGAAUUGACUCUGAUUCGCUUGAAAGCUAAUGAUGUUCUUCACCGUAUCAAUAAAAGCAGUCAUAUCAUCAUAAGGACUCUUCCCUUUAUCAUUCUUGAAAUCGAUCAUGCCUUGCAGCAAGACGAUCUCAUCAUCUUCACUCCACUUCCUUUGAAAAUAAUUCUUUUUGGUAGGAGGAUAAUUCUUACCAGGAUCUUUUUGCUCUUCUUCCUCAGACGAAGAACCUGCCUCCUUACCUUCUUCCUCAGACGAAGAGCCUGACUCAUGUCCUUCUUCCUCCGUCGCCAUUUCCUCGUCGUCGCCUGAAGAUUCUGUCGUCAGUGGAUUUUCCAACGGAGGACUCCUCUUCUUCGUCGGUGGUUCUUCCAACAGACACCUCUUCACCGUCGAUGGAUCUUCCUCCGGUUUGAGACGCUUGCUCUUAGGUUUGGAAAGCUUGUUCUCCGGUUGUGAACGCUUCUUGUUCUUCUUGGCCAUGUGACUUUUGAGAGAGCGGGAGACGAAAAGCUUUGUUAUUCCUUUCAUUUUUUUUUUUUGUCAAAGAUAAAAAGAGUUAAGUGUUGUAAUGAGAUAAUAAAGAUAUUCUAUUUAUUGUGUUGUUGGACUCGUCACUCGCCGCUUAGUAUCUAGGGUUAGGUAAUUGUCGCAACAACUUCCAAGAAGAAGGGCUAAAAGGAGACCUCUUGAUAACCUCGAAACUGAUAGUUGUCAAGUUGAGUAUAAGCUUUCUCUUAGUCUCAUCAUUGAUGUCACUAAUGAUCACUGUCCCAAUAUCAACUGCAAUCGAACAGAAAGAAACAACCAUAUUAUAAAAUAAAAUUAAAAACAGAGAAGUUGUGUCGGAUCUUGGUUGCUUCUUGACCAAGUCAGGGUUCGUUAUACUCUUGCAGCAGUAUCCUUCACUUCUAAGACGUCCUGAGAGGAGUGUGUUUUGAGAUGCUCGUGUGUCGCUAUAUUGAUUUCGUUCAUAAAUCUCCCCUUCAGACACUCGGGACCAAGAAGCUGCAGAGCAAUGUGUCUGAUGUAUUUGUAGAACUCCAUGACUUGCUGUAAGAACAAGCUAUCUUUCCCCAAGAUUAAAGAGAUGUUUGAAACAUAAGGCCAAGUAUAAUCAUUUCUCAUCUCUCACUUCCAGUCAUCCACCAACAUUAAAAGAAAGCUUCAAUUUCCCAGUAAAAUAACCAAUCGAAAUCUAUCCUUUAGAAUGAGGAAAGGAAAAAUUGCAAACGUAGAUUUUGAAAAAGGAUAAAGACCUUACAGACAAUUACAACAAUGACAACCUUAUGGCUUGUAUGUUUAUAAUGUAUGCUUUUACAUUCAUAUGAACAUCGAAUUUCAAUUUCGCUUAAAUGCUGGUGUUCUGGAUGGUCUGAUUCAGAGAAGUUCCACGUUUGUUCAGCUUCGUCAAGAGGUAAGCCAAUGCGACUUUAGCACCUAAGGCGGAGUGACCACGGGACAAACAGAUCGCACCGCCCACAAGUACUAGACCUUUUGCUAUCAGUUUCUUUGAUGGCUUUCUCAAUUUUUUCUUCUGUUUGGCUACAACAUGACUUAACAGUCCUUCACCACUACUUGUUCCAAUGGAGGCUGUGACAUUAUCUGUCUGAGUUUCUAACUCUGAUGGAACCUGGAGAUACACCAACCAUGUCAGUGAAGACUCAACCGGUUGCUUUAUGCAUAUUCGGUUUCAGGACACUAAAUUCCAUAUUACAGAACAGAUUUUUUAUAUGAAUCUCACCUUUUUCAUUAAGGUGACAGCAGAUAAAAUGGGUCCUUGGGUUCUAUGACUGGUUGCUAUGUAUUUACAAAGAGCGUUUUCCAUCUUACAAACGUAACUCCAUAUGCCUUUUGAGAAGGCGAGCUUCGCCAUCUCAACAUUUAACCCAGCAUUCUCCUGGUGAAACAUUUUGAUCUCACAAGCAUUUCGACCGGGAACUGUAGCAGCAAGUGUAAAGGUUAGCAGUUAGAUAAGUAUCAAAGGUAGAAAGAAUGCUGACAACAGUAACAGAAAAAGAAACUAAGGACCGUGUUCACCAUGAUCAAUCAAUAUCUGAUUAUAUGGUAUUCAAACAACACUGACUAAACCUUUAGGUGAAUAUAAUUGAUAAGCAAACCACUUGCCUUGCCUGAUUCUCCAACCAGAUCUAAAAUAGCUUACACGUACGUAAUUCCUCUGUCGCGGUACCAUAUUGUGAUCACAUUCCUAAUAAUAACCAAAGAGCAACACAAUAAGUAAAGAAGCAACAACAAAUUGUGACAGAGAGAGAGAGAAGUUUCAGUUGAUUUUGACCUUUGUGAAACAGUAAAACUUGCCCUUUCCUUGCCACAAUCUCCAAGCUAGUACGUACUCUCUUGAUGUCAACAAGGGAAACUUUUUGAUUGUGCGACCAAUCUCAAUUCCGGUACUACUGUCAACCUGCAACUGCUCAUGCUCAACAACAGUCUUAUCCCAUAGUUUCCUAUAAUCAUUGUCCAUGUAAAAAUCCCUCACAAUCUCUGCAGAGCAAUCCUCGAAGACCGUAACACUUAGGUACUUCAUAGGACCACCACCAUCCUAAAAAUAGAGCCAAAGGCUUAUAAUACUCAGUAAUCAGAAUAAUAGACUAAAAAGACAAACUUUGAAAACGAUUUAAAAGUAAGUACUUUGGGUUUGCAGCGUUUAGCAGUGUAUGAAAUGCGAUGGUUGCUUUUGUGAAUAACAUUUUCCCAUAUCUCCGUAGAAUCAUUUGUUUCCUCCAAAUUCUCGAUCAGAAAUUUCAAAUCUUCAUCAGAGACUAGUUUGGAUAUCCUGCAAAACGUAUAGAGGAAUCUUCAAAGUUUAAACAUUUGAAAAGCAAAAGAAGCAGUUUUUUCAUUAGCCCAAGUGAGUAAUCAAAGACUUAAUUGAGAAAAAUCAAACCUUUUUGUUACCUUGAUUGAGAGUUUAUGGCAUGAGAAACUGAUUCGGUAGGUGAAGGAGAAGAAGAAGAAGAAGUGAAGAAGCGAAAUUUAGAGGAAAAGAAGAUAUGAAAGAGAAGGAUUAAGAGAAGCGAAAUCGCGGUGGCCCAUAAAUAAGAAUCAGAAAGAGCUCGCCGGGAAAGUUCUUCGGAGAAGAAAGACAAAGCCCAGUUCUUCAUCGAAUUCCAAAAUCCCUACACGAUAUGCAAUUCAUUCAUUCAUCGUGGCGUGUGUUUUGUUCCAGUUGCACAAGGCAACGGAUUCUGGACUCUGCUUUUUCUCUUUAUUUUAUGGUUUCGCCCCCAAGUUUUGAUUUUCCUUCUUUUUGACCCCUUUGUUUUUUUUUCUUACAGUUUUUUUCCUCUUUGUUCUCAAUCAAUCAAUGGGUGUUAUAUAGAAGAAAAAAAGCAUGACCAACUAAUGAAAUUGAAAGAACCUGUCGUUUUAAUUCAAGUAUUAUUUUACAUGGAAGAAAUGAAGUGUCAGAGAAUCUCCUGAUUCAGUAAUGGAUAAGGGCCAUAAGGCAACGAUUGACUCUAUUGAUUCUGUGACAAUCACAAUCACACAGGACUUGUUCUAAUAGCAAAUAUGUGGAGAAACCCACAAAAAGACAAAUAUAAUGAUACCCGCUAGAGACUGACUAAAAUGAUUAAUGAAUGACUAAGGAGGGUACACUACUACCAAUACCUGAUCCACUUUGAUAUAUGGCCAGUAAUAAACCAAACUCUCAAUUUCCUCUUUUAAGUGAUACCCCCAAAAUCUAACAAAAAUGUAUUAUAUUUGAAAUCUAUCCAACUUCAUUAUUCAAGAGUUGCUUGCAUCAAAUGUAUCGGCUAUUGGAAAUUCACCUAGGAAACCAAUUGAAUUACCUUGCUAAAUUCCAGACGGUUUUGGUUUGAGUCGGUUCAGAGUGGAUAUUUCUGCCUUGAACCGGUGGGCUUAAUUAUCUUCUUUGUUUAUUGAUUUGAGCCGCUUUCAGACCUCCGGGGAUGAUUAUCAGGCCCAUGGUAUAUAUUGGGCCUGUGGUUUAUAUUCAAUGAUCAGGCCCAUGGUAAUUCAAGCAAUUGACACUGUAGUAUAUGAACAAACCUGUGACAUACAUAAACAUAACAAAGCUGGUCAGUUUUAUGCGGACAAAAAAUUUGCCAAAUAAAACGGAAUUAGUCUAGUCGACAUCUAAAUUAAUAUUAUCAUAGGGAGACAUUCCACCACUUGGACCUCCUUUAAAAUAUUUAACUUUUAUGGAAGGAAAUGGAAUGGUCAAUGAUACGUUGAUACUCUCAGUACAUAAUAAUGUAAUCAAGUGGAUAAAGGUAUAAUCAAAAUAAUGCAUCCAAAUCAAAACAUAGGAGCAUUUGGAGUUGCAGUUUCUGUCUGAUGAGUUUGAGUUGGCCAUCACAGACCGUGCUGAAACCCCAAGGCUUGAUGUGAGUUUAGUUAUUUUCCAUCAAUAAAGAUUAAAGAGUUUGCUGGUUUCUCUCCUUAACUUGUUAACUUGUUGGUUUGGUUGCAGGAGAUCUACCAAGUGAAUCAUGGACAAAACUGUGUUUCUGUUACCACAGAGCCUUCUCCAGGAUCAGCAGUUAACCACAAACCAAGAAUGAGAUGGAUUCCUUAGCUCCAUAAGCAUUUUCUAGAGGCCGUGAACAAGCUUGAAGAGCCUGAAAGUGAGAGUUAUCUUUUUAUGUGAUUCCAACAACAAAUCUAUUAUUCAUGAUCACUCCGAUGUUUUUCUUCUUUUUGAAAGAGAUUUUUUUGCUGCAAAACGUUAAUCUAAGCAGGUUUUACUUUCACCAUAUGCAAAGGCAACUCCUAAGGCUGUUAUGAAGCCAAUGAAUGUUGAGAGUUUGACCAUCUAUCAAGUCAAAAGCCAUUUGCAGGUCCACUAACUCAACCAUUUGAAUCUGACAAAGAUUUUAACUACAUAAACUGAAUUAUCUUUGAAGCUGUCUUUUUCUUGCAGAAGUAUAGACUAGCCAAGUAUAUGCCAGAGAGAAAACAAGGUAACUUGUUCUCUCAUCUGCUUAUAGUUCAUUUAUGAUCAUCUGAGACAAUUUUAUCUAUUGAUUCAUUGUUGUUGUUGUUGUUUUUUUGCAGAGAAGAAAAAUGGUAACUCAGAAGAUAAGAAACCAGCUUCGAAUACCAAUGAAGCAGAUGGUAGAAAGAAAGGGUGCGUCUUGCUUAACUUUUGGACUGUGGGAUAUGUUUUCAAACAUUUUCCUUAAAAGACUCUAUCUCUUUCUUUCUUUUUUUUGUGCAGAGCCAUACAGUUAACAGAAGCUCUACGUAUGCAGAUGGAAGUACAGAAGCAAUUGCAUGAACAGCUUGAGGUAAAAUACACCACUUUAACAUUGGUGAAAAGGUUUCAUUCAAGAUUUGCUCUCAACCAAUUCAUGUACAUGUUACUGCUGAGUGAGUAGGUACAGAGGUCACUUCAACUACGGAUAGAGAACAUGCUAAAUACUUGGAGAAGAUCUUGGAAGAAGAGCGAAAAUCUCAUAAAACCGAUGCAUCUGAACCUAAAGAUGACAAAUGUGAAACUUCUCGAAAACGUCCUAGACUUGAAAACUGAACAUCCUUAUAGGUAAUAAGUAGUAAAACUUCAGGUCUAUUUUUGUGUACUUGUGUUUACUAUAUGAUCCAAUGAAAGAAGUAUAUUGCCAAAUUCCUAUAGUUAUUUACAAAAGAAUCAAUCAACAAAGAAGAUGGAAUUUUGCAGCCAAUACAAAGAAUAUGAAAGAGAUUUCAAAUUCAAAAAAAUCCACCGCAACCGACAUCUUAUAUUUGGCAAAUAUAUACCUUCCUAUGUACCUCCUCUAAUCUUUAACUUAUAGUUAGCUAUCUGCUGAAGAGACGAAAAAGCUCCUCCUUUUGCUUCUAGUCUUCCUUUAAUUCUAUGCAAUAGUCUACAAAUGAAUCUCUUCUUGUUUAAUCGCCUGUCAGAAACCAACUGAAUCCCAACCCUCCAUUGACCAGAUGAGUUAGCCAGUGCGGGUGGCUUCAGCGGCCCUUUCCCGCAUCAUCUCCAUUACAGCAGCUCUACGCCUUUUGUCCGACUGCUGCUGCUGCCUACUACUAAUCUCUCUGAAAUCUCUGUUAAAACGGAGAUGCAACACUUACGAGUUAGCUAUCUAUCUAUAUAUAAAAAGUUGUUUAAUCAGUGUAAAAGCAUGUGAAACUCUCUACGUACCUGCAUUUGGGGACAGUGCAUUGGGAAUCUCUACAGCUGCGGGCAUGGAGUCUGAGGAGAUUCCAAACUCUCUUACAAUGGGGGCAACGUCCAGGACCAGUCUUACAUGCUAUACAAUGUCUGAAGAAGGUCUUAAACUUACGACAACCUUGAUAUUGGCACAGUGUAGAGCGGCAUGCAGCUACAUGUACCAGCACUUCUUUUAACUGCAAAUAUCAACAAACCACCGAGCUUUAUUACUCUGUUUCUAGAAGCUACACACACAUAAACAAUCUCAAUAUAGGUAAUGGCGUAUUAGAAAAUACCUUCUCUAGCUGGACUUGAUAAUUUUGACUAGCUUGCCUGUUCUCUUGUACAACAGGACUCUCGGUAGAAGAUGAACGGUUUAUCAGGUUAUGUGAAUGGUUGAUAGACGCCUUCGAGUAACAGGCACUGCAGACAUCAUAGCCCGGACAAACUUCACAGUGCCAGCCUUGAGAGUUUUCAACUUCUUGUUGGCAGAUGGUGCAAAAUGUAGCAAAUGCAGGGGCAGUUGGGUUGUGAAGAUGAUAGAGAAUCAUCAUGGAAGAAUGUUUGGCCCACCUUAGAGUGUCGUACUGAUAGUUAUUUCCUUGGCAAAGAUUCAAGAAAGCUUGUCUGUUAUCAAAGAAUUCGCUCUCCAGGUUGUCAUCUGUGUCCUCAAUCUUGACGGGAACGUCUUUGAUGGCCACCUGCAAAGAUCCACACCUUGUCAGUUUCCAAGAUACAAAAAGGAGAGAAUGAAACUCUUAAAUCUCUAACCACCAUUAGAAACUUACGGGAAAUAGCGCGUGUUUCUCUUUCUGAUUAAUCGGAUGUCUCUCUAUAUUUAUGCGGUUCUGUUCCACUUCAUUACACCUAUGGUUGAAAGACGGUUGUUAAGUUGAAUGAUUUGAAGUAUUAUAUAGCCUGAGUAUGAUCAUAUGUAGCAGAGAUCUUACUUGUCACAGAUCUGAAAAUUCUUGCAAUGAUUGCAGACCCACCGGUUUCCAGAUACCAUGAGAGUGGUACAAUGCUUGCAGCAAUGUUGCAAAUGAACCAUUAUAAAAUCUUCCUUCAUCGGACAAAUGGUCUCACCGAGCUACAGAAAAACAGAACAAAUAAAUAAAAGCUAGUGGAAGCAAGAUCAUAAUAGUGGAAUAGAGAAAUGAGAAGUUACUUUUUGCAUCAUAAGUCGAUCCUUGGAGGCAUUAAGAGAAAGGUCCAACUGGCCAACGGCUUUUAGGGCUCUUUUCGAUAUGACCUUUUUGGUCAAUCCUUUUCUAUUUAACUUUGUCUCACCAUCAUCUUCUUGGUUCAUUUGGCGUAGUAAAUCCUCAGCAGCACUUGGCCAGUAGUCUCCAUCAAAAUAUGGCAACCUUGCAGCAGUUACAUUAGCUCUACAUUCACCAGACUGGACAAAAAAAUGAUUGUAGAGGUUUGUGCAUUCAACGACCACAUCUUCUUUUGAAGCUUUUCUUAACAUUGCCAAAUACCUGAAAAGGUAGGAAUGUGAUUAGUGCCAACAAAAUGUCCAUAACACUUGACAAACAAGUAAAAACAAAACAGUCGCGGUCUCAUACCAUUCCCUUAGUUUGUCAGUCUUUGGAGUCUUCUGGAUUUCAGGAUGACAAUAAAGAAUGUAAUCUUCACCCUUAAGUGGAGGACAUGCCCAUAUAUAGCAGCUUGUAAAACCACGUUUCUUACAAUAAUCGAGAUAACCAAUCUGCAAAUUCGUAACAAGUCCAUGAUGAUAAGUUUCGUGUACUCGUGAAGCAAAACACAAAACCUAAAGAAGAUGGGAUUAGAGAUAAAAUGGCUUACCAGAAUUUCAUGGUACACAAAGGUGCGAAGGGCUUCUCCAGACACAGUUCGAACCUCAGGUCUGAAAUACUUAACAGAGUCCAGAUAAGAAAGGUAUACCCGCCGCUCAUUGGGAGGUCCAGAGUCUGUCCCAAAUUCCUGGACGAACAUACCAAAUAAGCAUACUUCCACAUUUUCAAUCUUCUGAAACAGCAAAAUGGCCUGAAACAUAUAAAGAAAAUAUCUCUUUGAAGUGCCAAACAAGCAUCAUGAAAAUGAAUAAGAACCAAAACCAUGAACCAUUGUUACCUUGGAUUUAUAAGGGAACUCAGUUGGAUAAUUUUUUUCUCGGAAAAGCUCAAGGAAACGUUGCUUUACUUCUAAUACUUUAUCAACCGAUGCCACAACUCUGACAGUAAGUGAUUCAGCUCCAGGGACCUGAUAUAUCAAUAAUGAAGGUAGAUGGUUAUUAUAACUGUUUCUAGACAAAAUUUGCUCCAGGCUGUUCAAGUGAACCUAAAGCUCAUGUAUCGUAAAGGAACAAAAGCAUAAAACAGUUGACAGCCUUAAAGAGUUAGAGAUCACCUCCUCAUAAGUUUUUCCUUGAAGUCUAGCCCUCUCUUGUCUUUCCUCCCUCAACUUUUUGAAUAACCGCUCCUCUAGAUGGUUGCUAAGAGCAGUAACUGGUAAAUUUGUUGCCCCCGGAACAGCACUUAGUGGUAAUGGUCUUCUUUCUCUUUGUUCCACCUCUUGUAUAUAGCAAUUAGGGCAAGUGUACUUGGUGGUUUCUCCAUGAUUUCUUCGGCUGUUGAACAAAGCACAAAUUUGAUGCUGCCAUGCUUCACACUUAUCACAUUGCACCCACUGCAUAAAACCAUUGGUUUGGUUCAGACACAAAAAAAAAAAAAAAAAAAAAAAAAAACAAAGGAAGAAGCAAAUUUCAGAAAUCAUGAGGCAUACAUACCCCUUCCGGAACUUGUUCAUCAUUUUUCUUUUUCUCAAGCCUUGUUUUCGGUAUAGAAGUUCCAUCAAGAAAAACCAAGUUUUCACGCGCUUCAUUGUAGCAAGGUGCACAGACAUAAUGCCUUGACUCACCAGCCGCAAUACUAUAGUGCAAGGCAUUUUUCUUGAUGCGUAUACCACAAGGUGAGCAGUAGAGAGGUACUGGCUCAAAUACAAGCCACUCAACAGCACAUAACUGACAAGAAUUCACAGACAUGGAGCACCCCAUUGCUUUGUUUUUGUCUGCCUUGGUUUUACUCUGAAAAUAGAAUUACAAAGAAACAAAAAAAUUAGUAUCGUGCAUUCUUAGUUACUUUCAAAGAAACAAAAAACAGAACAAGGAUACAGAGUAGGAAAAAUUAGACCUUGUGAAAACCAAGAAAGGUUAAACAAGAAGUGAAGUUUUAAAAUCUGAAUGUUUACCUGUCCUACCCACUGACGAAGACUGCGGAUAUGCUCCUUUACUUGCUCAGGAGUAAACAAUUCAACAAGUGAGGAGAUUUCCAUCUUAGACGCAUCUACAACUUCCACAGACUGUUUCACAUUCUCUUCCUUUGGUGCACUCAUUUCAUUCAUACAUUUGGAUUUCCCUUGUGCCAAUAAGCAACUAGUUUUUUCAUCCAUAACAAAACCACCACAAUUAUUACCCUUGGGAGUAUCUUCAGCAACAUGUUUCACCAGCUCCCUGGUAACGGGAAUCUCAGAAGCAUCAGGAACAUCUAUGUCCAUAGGCAUAGCCUCAACUUUGAGGCUUUGCAAACCAUCUUUCUCUUGCAUAUUCAUUAAGGAAUGAGGUUUACAAACAACACCACAUCCUGUCACCGAAAUGCUCUUCGUCUCGGGAGUGAUAUUUUGGGAGGGUCGCUGUAAUUUUGGGCGCUUGAUUGAGCGUUGCAGAUCAGCAUCAACAGAUGGAGCUUCAGCACCUCCUUUUUUAUAUGCUUUCCUGGAUUUUGAGGAUUUCUUGGGUUGACAUUUCGAACUAGCUGAGCUACACUUAGCUCUACGGAGAGGUACAAUUGUGUAUUUAUUCUUUUCCAUGUAUUCUCUGACAGCUACACAGGUACGGCACGAUAUGCUUUUGCACUGCUUGAAAUGAUCUAACCACAUCCGAGUACCAAGACAAUAUCUAUAUUUGCAGUUAGGGACCUUGCAGCAGUCUAUAUGUUUCACUAUCUUUCUGGCUUGAAAGCAAAACUUGCUCGCACACUUAUCUUUCUUAGCCUUGCAAUGACGUGCAUGGAACAUAAACGGAAUCCACCGCAGAACGGUGUUCGAAGACGUUUGACCACAAUCUUCAUUAACCUGUUUACUUGAUGUAUCGUUUCCAUCCCGAGGACGUUUCCUCUCAACAGUAUUUCUAGGAGAAACAGUUUGACUGUUUAUAGGCGCUAUUGGAGAUGAGACACGAUGGACAGGUUCAGGCUGCAUAUGAGUAUGUUCUCUCUGUCCAUUAUUGUUUUGUAAUAUUUCAGUUGAGUUCUGUAGAGAUGUCUGCCUUUGAACCGGGAUUGAUUCCGACUGCUUUUGAUGAGGAUGUGGUUGCAAAGAUGGAGAAGAAUUCAUCUGACUACUGUGGACAGAUACACUUUGAGCACCAAUGUAAUGGUCUUGAACAGCAGUCUGUUGGCACUGCAACUUGGAUGGUUUGAAUCCAUUUUUAGUAGCAUGUUUCUGAAGAGCUUCUUCGUAGGAUUCCAAGCUUGGUACAUGCAUGACAGGAGCAGCUAAAGCCAUAGCUUGCUGAGUCAGAUUGGGAAGUAAAUGAUCUUGGUUCUGGAGUUGGCCAGGAUAAAGAUUUUGGGAGUGUUGUCCUCGGUGCUGGUGAGACCCAUGAUUUAAGAGUUGUUGACUGACCUGAGGCAAGUUUUCUCUGUUAUUGGGAGCAGAUUGGAAAUUAGUAUUCCAAAGCGGAUGAUGUAGUUGACGUUUUGGCAAUGGGGUUUGUUGCAUUGGUUGCAGGUUUGAGUGAUAACUUGUGACGGUAGCGUCAAGUCCCUGCAUAGGAUUGGGGUUCCAUGGAGUUGAAUUCUGAGAAACUGCCAUUGAGCUAGAUGACACAACAAUUCCACAGGGAUAGGGAUUACUUUGACCAAAAGAAGCAACGUUGCUCAUUGAGUAUCCUUCACAUGGGAGAAAGCAACUUGUAAGAAACAUACCAUUACAUGAAUUGCAUAACAGAAGAGUGAAAGCGAAAAGAGAUAUAUAGAUAGAUAGAGAUAGGGAGAGAGAUUACUAUGCAUGUGUGACUGAUCAGGUGGUACACAGUUGAGAAGUGUAGCAUUGAAGAGGUCUUGAGAAGUCAUGGGUAUAUUAGCAGAAACUGGUACACAGUUGCCGUUAAAUCCAGUAAUCAGAGGACUAGAGAUCCCACAAGUAAUUUGGUUCAUAUUUGGCCUAUUAACUUCAACCAUCUGGUGAUUAGCACCAGUAGAAUGGUGUGUGUGCAUGUCAGGCCCAAUAGAAAAUAAUCCUGCAGAUGAUAAGGUAUAGAGUCAAAAAGUAAAGAACAACAUGUCAGUCGUAUAUGUUGAAAAAGAAUCAGGAGAGAUCAAAGAUGUGUACGUACCUCCAGCUGCUGCAGUGGUGCAAUUAAUUGGCACAAGGCUUCUUCCGGAUUGGAAAGAGUUGUUACUAACGCUCGUGGAAGUAUGGACCGCGCGGGUAGGUGUAAUACAUUGAGCCCCUCCAUUAUUCAUGGCAGCACGCCGCUGAGAAAGGAUUGUUCCAAGCUGUUGCAACAUAGUUUGUACACGAGCGUCAAAAGUUGUUAAAUCGGAGUACUCAUCAAAUGAUCGGGAAGACUUGAGGAGUUUUUCCUCAAUCAUUCUUGUUGCGGCAAUACACUUUUGAUCCUGCUUCUCUAAGAUAGCAUCUUGCGUGGGCUGCUGAUUCUUCUUGUGUAGAAAGAUUUGAUGCUGCUGCUGCUGCUUGUGUUUUACGAUAGCAUAACUGGAGAAAUAAACAAUAUAUGAUGGUUAAUUGAGCAAAUUAAAGAUUAGAUCAUGGGAUGAGACAACAUAUGUAUAAUAAGGGCAAUAAAGAGAGAGCGAAGAUGAUUAUGUUACAUUCUAUUUCUUAAAGCAGUGCGUCUCGCAACAGCAACAGAGUUCUGAGGAACAUUAUUAUUCAUAUUUUUCUUUCAACAGAGCAUGUGACCAAAGCCUCCCCUAGCUAAGACAUUGUUGAUCGACAAAGGAUACAAAAGAAAACCUGAGCAAGCAAAAUUGAGUUCGCAAUUUUGAUUAAUUAGCCAAAAAAACAGUCAGCGAGAACGAACGAAGACGACCAAAGAAACAAAGGAUGGUCUUGGUCGGUGACGGGGAACAAUGGGAGGAAUAGGGAUUUGUCUUUUAUAUCCAAAAUUAAAUCAAUCAAGCCCUUUAUUUAUUUAUUUAGUUGACAAAAUCAAACUAGUUUGACUAGGAAAGUUAUGUUGUUAUAUUUUUUUUUUAAGACUUCAGGCCCAACCAACUAGUACAAAAAAAAAAAAAAAAAAGAGUUGAAAACUAAAUACAAUCGAAUUAUUAUUUAGUUGUUUGUGUGAGAGAUUGACAAAUAAAAGUGGGAAGGAGAAGAGCUUAAAGGUUUGUGUGAGAGACAUGGGCUUCUUUGGAGAGAGUUAUGAGAUCUUUUCACCAAGAUAGGUUUGGUUUUGGUUUUAUGUUUUAGAUAGUAAUAGAUCAAUAAAUAAUGAUUUUUUUCUGAACCUAUCAUUCUAAACAAAACUUGAGAGAUACAAACAAGAAACCACGCAAGACAGAUCAAACUCUUAAGCAAUAAAAAAAACGCACAUACAAAAAUGAAAGCAAAAUAAAGAUUUCUUCUUUGCCCAAGCUAGAUACCCAUUUCUUUAACAGUAAACUUAGGCCUGGGCAAAUAAACCGAACCGAAACCGAAGUUAAAAAAAUCGAACCGAACCUAACCGAAAGUUUAAAAAUAACCGAAUGGAUAGUAAAUUUAAUAACCGAAAUAACCGUAACCGAAUCGGUACCGAACCUAAAUAUUUCGGAUAACCGAAAUAUUCGAAAUACAAUUAUAUUUUCAAAAUAAUUUGUUAUUUAUAGACCAAAUAAUCAAAAAUACUUGAAAAUAUGUAAAAAUAGUUAAAAUACUCGAAAAUAACCGAAAUAUAUCCAAAAAUAUUCGAAAAUACUCAAAAAAUAACCGAAAUAUCCGAAAAUAUCAUAAGCAAAAUAACCGAAUGGAUACUAAAUUUUAAAACCGAAAGAACCGAAACCGAACCAAAAUUUUAAAAUAUCUGAAUAGAUACUAAAUCUUGAAACCGAAUAGGCCGAACGGUUAACCGAAAGCUCAGGCUAAGUAAACUACACAAAGCAAAAGCCCAGAAAGGUGACCUUUUAACGAGCUGUCGUUUUUAGAUUUUCGAAAACGGGACGCAGUUGGAUAGCGAAAAUAGUAAACGAGACAUAGUUCUGUUUAUAAUCAGAGUGCAAACCGAUGGCAGCCACAACAAUUUCGCCGGCGAUUAGGAAACAAAUGAGCACCGUUGCCGUCGCAAUGAAGGUCGCCGUUAUCGGCAGCGGAAGUGGGAUUUCUCAAUUUCGUUCUUAGAUUUCGUUUUCGGGUUUCAUUCAUGAAAAUAUAAGUUUUCAAUUAUUCAAAUCGGAGCAGUUUCUGGAGCCGUGUGUGCAUCGACUCUGGCAAGGAAUGGCGUCUCCGUCACUAUCUUCGACUCGGGUCGUGGACCUGGUGGACGCAUGUCUCAAAGAAGGUUCCUUUUCUCCCAAAUUACACGUUCCGAGUCUUUUGAUAAAGAUUGUUCCUUUUCACCUGAAAAGUGUUGUUUUAACUUUGAAUGAUAUCUCGUUUAAGCAGAGAGAUUGGAGAAGAUGGGAAGGAGUUGAUGUUCGACCAUGGAGCUCCAUUUUUCUGUGUGGGCAACUCUGAUGCAAUGGCUCUUGUUCAUGAGUGGGAGUCCAGAGGUUUUGUUUCUGAAUGGAAACAAGUUUUUGGGAGUUUCGAUUGUGCCUUCAACAAGUUUCUUGGCAUCCAACAGGUUUUGAAACAUCAGUCUUUGUGCUUAUUUUAAAACUUUAGUAGAUUAUGAAGUGUGAUCUACUUGUUUCAGUAUAUGUAUUUGGAAGAUACUUGAUACUGCGAUUGAUUGAUACUACCAAGUAGUUUUAAUGAUUCAUCUCGGAGUUUGAGGUUUUAUUUUAGCUUAAUGUGUUUAACUGUCUAGGAAGGGGAUGCAAAGAAGUAUGUGGGUGUUCCGGGCAUGAACUCUAUAUCUAAGGCCUUGUGUCACGAGUCUGGUACUUUUCCUAAUCUUUCUAGUCCAGAGAUUGAACUCAAAUCUCUGAAACAUCAGUCUCUGUAAUCAACUCCGUGAUCAACAUUGUAGGUGUUAAAACUAUGUUUGGAACUGGUAUUGCCAAGCUGGAAUGGUUGGAAGAAGAGAUACCAUGGUUGUUGACUGAUUCAAAAGGAGAUAAUUUGGGUCGUUUCUAUGGAGUGGUUGCAUCAGAUAAAAACAUUGUUUCUCCAAGGUUUACUCAAGUAACCGGACUCCCACCGCCACUGGGUAAGACUCGCACAAACAUAGUCCUCCUAGAGUUGCCCUUUCAAUGCUAUAUCACAUUUAUCUCUAUUCACUUUUAUUUGUUUUCAUAACACAGACUUAAGUCUAGUCCCAGAGUUGGCGACUAAGCUGCAAAAUAUUCCUGUUCUACCAUGCUUCUCUCUUAUGCUAGCUUUCAAGGAGCCGUUGUCUUCGGUAAGAUAUUUGCUUGUCCAGUCUGUAAUCAAUGUUGGUUGAUCAAUCCACUAACCAAAGUAUUUGGGUUCAUCUACAUAAGCUUGCAGAAACAGUAAUCUAGUGAAAGCCUUAUCUAAUUUCUGUCGUUUUGCAUAUUCUAUGAUUUUUGAAUCAGAUACCAGUAAAAGGCUUAUCUUUCAAGAAUUCAGAGAUUUUGAGCUGGGCUCAUUGUGAUAGCACCAAGCCUGGACGGUCUACUGAUAGGUAUCACUUCACUAACCAAAACAUUUUAAAUGUAAAAUUAGAGUAUUUGAGAAGUUGCAACCAAACGUAUGGGGUAAGAUUGUUUCAGUGUUCUAAAUUCUGAGUGUUGUUAUCUUGAUUUUUUUAGUGAAAGAUGGAUACUGCAUUCUACUCCAGACUAUGCCAACAGUGUUAUAGCCAAGACCGGCCUCCAAAAGCUAUCAAGUGAAACACUAAACAAAAUAUCUGAAGAGAUGUUCAAAGAGUUUCAGUGCUCAGGCCUUGUUAGUUCUCUCCCCUUUUUCAUGAAAGCCCACAGAUGGUAAGCGUCCUGACUCUUAGUCCUUCUGUUAAUCGCUUCGCUUGUCAGCUCAAUGAUCUGUUGUCUCUAGGGGAAGUGCGUUUCCAGCCAAAAGCAUAGCCGUAGAGGAGAGGUGCCUUUGGGAUAGAAACAGGAAUCUAGCAAUCUGUGGAGAUUUCUGUGUCAGCCCAAAUGUCGAAGGUGCCAUUCUCAGUGGCUUAGCUGCAACGUCAAAGCUUUUGCAGACUUCUAGCUGCUUAUAGGUACGGAGGUACCAUAUUGAGUUUAUCCCCAAUACCUCGAAACAGAGUAAUAUAUACAUUUAUAUAAAGAUUCUACUAGAAUCAUGUAAAAUGACUAUGACAAUCUUCUUCGUGAACUCUAUCCGCCGAUGAAACAGAUACAUAUCGGAAUAUCAUGUGAUCUUCCUAAAUCUCUACUUUGUUCCUUGAGAAAUGAUAGCCAGCGCAGUUCUAUCGAUGAAAGUGUCAUUCGCAGUGCUUAUUGAUGGAUUCGAUUGGCAACAUCUACGAAAUUAAGCAAUGUAAAUUAUCCUGACAGUUUCUGCUUAUUUGAUGUGCAUACCGGACAAUGCCUUUGCGUUGAUGAAUUUAUGUGCAUUGGUAGACUCAAAGGAUUCAAUAUAUGUGCCUACCGAGAAAACUUGUUAUUCUAAGGUUUUUGUUCCGAAAAUUGAUUUUGAUUUAUUCAAAUACUGUUUCAGGAACCACUGCCUUGGCUAUGCAAUCACCUAUCCCAUCAUGUCCACAGGUAGUGAUGUUUCAUAUUAUCUUAUUGAUCAAUCGUUCUAGAGGUCCCUAAUACCUUGAAACAAAUGGAACUACGAUGAAAUAUAUAUAUAUGUAUAACGUCAUAAGUGGUAUUUUACAUGAAUCUACUGGGUACAAGGGUGAGGAAAUGUUUUGUACAAUCAGACACGCUCACGUUAUUUCCCCCCGAAGAAUUGUUCCAAUAUAUAGCAAUAGUAACUCUGGUUACACUCGAUCAUCAGCAAUUCCAAGCACUGCUUGGAAUACCAAUGUCGGUCAACAGGCUCUCCGAGCUACCUUCUCCAUAACUCUGUGAUUCUUUAGCCCCGAGGCUUCCAUCGAUCUUAGUGAGCUGACUGAGUAGAGCUCUGAGAACCAUCUGAUCUGAAGAACAGAACGAGUCGAGGCCUGUGAGCGUAGCUGGAGCUGAACCACCAGUAAACAAAGGGUUAGGGUUCUUGCAUGGAAUCUUGAGUUCAGAGACUGAGGUGGUAAGGUUUGCGUUUAAGGUUUGGUUCUGUGACAAAUUGGAGAAGCAGGGUACGUGCUCAUUGAUGAUGAAGUGAUGAUCAUCACUGAGGUAAGAAGAGGGUUCUUGGUCAAAGUUGAUGUAAGGAUCCAUCAAUGGAGGAAGAGAUGCGGAGGCUGUCUCAUCGAAACAGCUUCCCAUGUUGUCUCUACAUAUAACUCCUUCCGUAUUCUUAUGGAACACCCUACACAAGACCCAGUCUUCCUGAUUGGGAGGAUGAUAAGAUCCUUGGAGACGGAAUUCGUGCAUGACCCAAUCGGUUUUACGACCUCGAGGAGCUCGACCUUGAUAGAACACCAAUGUCUUCCUCAUCCCAACAAGCUUACCCUUUCUUAGAAUGGCUCUGUCUUUGCCGGUAGCUUUCCAAUAUCCAGUGGCCGUUGCUCGGUUUGUUCUCAGCCCCGUCGCGUAUUUCCGGUCUCUUUGGCUAUAGAAAUACCAAUCCUUCCCUCCCACGCAUGCCAUUUCUGAUCAUUUGAAACAUACACACAAACAUGUUUACAAGCCAACUUUUUGGUUCGAAAGACUCGCAAUAGAAGAAAUUUUGUCUCUUUGUUUACAAGCAUUUAGCUUCGUAACUCGGUUAAUCAACAAAAAAAAAUAUUAGAAGAUACUGUUGAAUGUAACUAGAAAAGUUUAUUGAAAUCUCAUAACGAUAAAUCUUUUUCUCUUUAAAAUAUUCCAUGUUCAAAUAUAUCGGCUAUUUUAGGAUUUACAAUAAUAAGAUACAAUAGACAUCCGUGAGUGAUUGAACUAAGCAUGUCAACAUGUGAUUCUUCAACCAAAACAACGAAUAGAAAUCCAACGCGUGUAAAUGAGUAGGAUUUUGAUUUUAUUUUAUUUUUGUUUGAAUAAAGAAAAAUAUCUUUGAUCAAAUGAGUGACGACUAAGCAUUCAAUAAUUAUUAUGUAGUUGAAGGGUCAAUUUAUCUUUGAUUUGAAAACUAAUCAGGACCCAUUAGAGGCGUAAGCAAAGGAGGGAAUAAGAAUACUAAUUUUGAUCAAACCCAACGAAUUUUACUUUUUGAAACUUAAAAUAUGUCACACUCUAAGCCUAUAAACCAACAAAAUCGAGAUAUUGACUUUUUCGUCGUUACUAGCUUAUUUUAUUUUAUCCAAAGCUUUAUUUUCAAGAAAUUUGGUUGAGGAUAACGCCAAGAGUGUCAACUUCUCAUAUAUAAUUAUCUCUGUCUCUCGAAAUCUCCAUAUUAUUACGUAAUAUAUGUUUUUUUUUUUUAUAACUUGUAAUCAUCUGAUGAAAUGAAAAGACUUAAAAAUUUUGUGAUAAAUAGACUACAUUGUAUAUAAACUGAAUGCAAAAAAUAUGUGGUGACAUCAUCUUAAAGUUUAUUGGUUCCAACUUUUUGUUUUUGUUGAUAUGGAUUAACGAACUUCAAGUUUUGUUUAUAUAAAACCAUGAACACGAAAGAAGAGCAUGACAUAAUCUAAUCUUUAAUAUGGACCAACCAUAUCAAAGUAAAACAGAGAUAUGGAUUAAUUAAUAACAGAUUGAUAUAUAUGAUCAAGAAUGAAAGAACACGUACUUGGGAUGUCCCAAGGCUCACACUUGUUGAGGUCGACUUGGAUCAAGACGAGAGGUGGUCGAGGAUUAUUGUGAAGCGAUCGUUUCAUCAAGUAAUCGCAGACAAGCUCGUCGUCCUUCGGGUGAAAUCUGAAUCCUGGUGGUAACUUUGCCUCCACCAUGCUUAUACUACUUUCCUUCAUCUCUUCUUCCGUCUCCAUAAUUGAUCAAUCUCUCUUAAUUUCUUAGGUUUUAGUAUUUGAUUAGUGGAUGGUUAAGAGGAAAGGAAAGAUAAAGAAGGAGAGAGAAGAAUAAUUAUUGGGAUCAUUUGGGUGUGUCCGAGGACGAAGACCCUUGGUUUAUGUAGUAAUUGUCCACCCAAGCCGUCAACUUCUAUAUAUAGUAUCAUUUUAAAAACUUAAUACGUAUGUUAGUAUUUCCAUUUCAAAUCAAUUAUUAAUCACAUAUUUUUGCCAAGAACAUAAAAUGGAUAUAAUAGUUGAGGAUACAUAUAUAUAGAAUAUGAAAAAGUUGAUAUUCUCUGUGAUUUAUACUAUUGAAUGUAACAAAAAAGCAUAAGAAGAUAAUGAAAAUGUUCAUAAAUUGUUACAAAAUGGUUUUUAACUUUUUAAUAAUGAAUUAUGCUCUCUGUAUACAUAAACAGUGGGAUGGCUGCCAUGAAACAGGAGACAACAAUUAAAGAAUGUAAUACUAGCCUCCAUUGAUUCAUUUCUUAUAGUAUAAUGUUUUGAUUUUAUUUAUUUUUUCCGUGGUUUAAUUAUUUCGAAAUAGUUUUAGUAGUAGUUUAUAACUAUGAAACACAUGUCAGUUUUUCUGAUUAUUAUUUAUGGUAUCGCAUUGUAAUCUCCGUCUUUAAAUACACGCGAAUUGUAUAAUCAUUUGUCGUAGUCAUAGACACACAAAUUGCUUAGUUUUUAAAACAACAAAUCUAAUCCGAGUAAAAUCAAAUGAGAAUAAUUCAUGUGAACAGCUGGAUUUGAAAGGCCCGCGUGGCCCAAAGACGUGGACCAUUCAUCUUGCCCUAUGCUAAAUUCCACGAUUUAUAUGUUUAAUAAAUUCGGUGAAUAAGUUUUCCUAAUUAAUUAACCAAUGGUCAUUUUAUACAUGGAUUUUGGAUAUAUAAACACUCAAACUUGCCCAUUAAUUGUGGAUACGUCUAUUGCAUAGUUGCGCCUCGUGAAUAAAACAAAGCCAGUGUCAUUUUCGCCAUUACCUCAGAUCAUUACAUGCUAGUAGCCGUUUAAUAACCAAGGAAAAUCUGAAAGAUUUUAUUACCGACCGAUUACAAUAACGAUAUUGAAUGUUAAUUAAGAUUAUGUUAAGAGAAAAUGAGAUUAUUGGAAUAAUGAAGAGGAAGAAGAAGCUGGUCCAUAUAUAAAUGUAUGAUUCAAUGAAAGCGUGGUGAAGGUAUUGGGUUCGAUGUUGUCGUUUGUGACAUUGGAGAAGUGGAAGUGAUGGCCACAACAACAACUAACAAAAACUUUGUUUGUAGUGGACUUGGUCAAAUUACUUCGAUUCUAUUAACUUUUUGACAAUAUUGGAUAGAGACAAAAACUUAUUUGAGUUUCUAUUUAAUUUCCAUGUACUUCGAUCGGAGUUAUAGUUCAUCUAUUAGAUUGGAUAGAACCAAAGUUUUUGGAUUAUGUGCGGUAUUGUGCAUUCCAUUAUGAUACAAUAUUGUAUGUUUUAGCCCAUGCAUACGAAUUAUUUCUUUUUUAGUAGGUUUUUUCGGCUGAGGGUUCUAAGUUUAAACUCUAACGGAUCAUGCAUGGCUUAUCACCGUAGACAAAUACAAUGCAUACCGAAAUAAAUUUAUUCGGAUUAGAUUUCGAACAAAAAGAGAAAAUACAUCUUCAUAUCAUAUUAGGUGAAGCAUCAUUCAACUAUAUGUAUAUUUUAAAUGUAUAUUAUUAAAUGUAUAUUUUGUGAUUGGAAUGAUUUAUGAUUAUUAUUUAUGUAUACCUUGGUUUACAUCGCAAUCUAGGCCAUGCUAUUAUUUAUGUAUGUCCAAGAUUAAAUUUUGAAUCAAGACAAAUAUUCGACCGGUGGUUGAGAUAUUAGAUUUUAUGUUAGAUAGCAAGGCACUCCAAGAGUCACUUCCGAUAUUUCCUUGACAUACAUUUUACAUAAUCGAUUGAAGAAUAGUAAUAUCAAUACCCACAAAGACACAACCGUAUGAUAAUUUGAUAUAUAUGACAACAUAAUUAUAUAUAUAUAUAGAAUGUGAUUUGUAAUCUUUUAUCAAUGUGGAAAAGAAGCUAGGUACGAAAAGAUGGUUUUAUCAAUUUCUUUGUAUAUCAUUAGCUUUUAAUUCUUUUUAUAUCAAGUUUAUCGGUAUAACCAUAAAAUGCAAUAUAUUCUUAGUUUAAAAAGAUAUCGUUAACUCUUAAUUCUUAGUCCAAUUUAUUUGUGGACUAAGAUUUGCAUUUUGAGGUUACACUAAUGAAGUGUACGUAAUGCAUACUUAUAGAGUUUAUAGAUAUUUUUUCUCAUAUCAUUUUAUCGGUUUCAUGCCAAAUUAGAAAGCAUAAUAUGGACAAUACGAAGUGCGUACGUUAAUCUUUAUUGCUGUAAAACUAGGUAUUAAACUCCCUUGAUUUAUUAAGAUGUGAUACAAUGACUUAUAUAGAGAACCUCUCUAGGGUUUACAACAACCGACUAUGACUUGAACAAUAAGUUACGGGCCUAAACAUGUGGCCCAAACUCUAUCCGUAAUACUCCCCCUCACGUUGGAGCGUGAAGGUUCUGAACGUCCAACUUGGACAUUAAAAACUCGAACUGAUUACGACCCAAUGCUUUUGUAAAAAUAUCCGCCAGUUGCUCUUCCGUGCGAACAUGAUGAGUGGAAAUGGUACCAUCUUGAACGGCAUCACGGACGGCAUGACAAUCGUUCUCAACAUGUUUUGUACGUUCGUGAAAGACCGGGUUAGCAGCAAUAUGGAGAGCAGCCUUGUUAUCGCAGAAGAGACGGACCGGUUGACGAUGUUCAAUUCCCAAUCCUUUCAACAACUUGAGCAUCCAUUUGAUUUCCUUUAAUGCAGCUGCCAUGGCCCUGUAUUCAGCCUCCGCGGAAGAAAAAGAGACUGUUUCUUGUUUCUUGGUUUUCCAAGAGAUAGGAGAAUCACCUAGAAAGACAAUGUAAGCACUGAGAGAACGGCGGGUUAAGGGACAAGACGAAUGAUCAGAAUCACAAUAAACUGUUAGAGACAAAUCUUUAUCAGCCUUGAGAAGAAUCCCUUGUCCAGGUAACCCUUUCAAGAACUUGACAAUACGCAACGCUGCAGCCCAAUGAGCUUCCCUUGGGGCUUGCAUGAACUGGGACAGUACAUGAACCGAGUAACUUAACUCCGGUCGUGUAUGUAAGAGAUACAAAAGACGACCAACAAGUCGCCGAUAUGGCUUAGGAUCAGCGAGUAACGGACCAUCAUCACGGGCAAGGCGAUGAUUUUGCUCUAGAGGAGUCGGAGAAGGCCGUGAACCAAGCACCCCACAAUCGGCGAUGAUAUCUAACGCAUACUUGCGUUGCGACAAAAAAAUUCCUUCAGGACCUCGACUGAUUUCAAUGCCAAGAAAAUACUUUGGUUUGCCUAAAUCUUUCAUCGAAAAGCAUUUACCCAAGUAUUCUUUGAACUUCUUAAGCAUAUAGCCAUCAUUACCACAAAUCAAGAGAUCAUCAACGUAGAUCAACACUCGGAGUUCGAUAUCUUUAUGUGUGUAGGAAAAUAAAGAGUAAUCAUCAUAAGAUUGUACGAACCCGAAUUUGAGAAGAGAAUCUGACAACUUUUUAAACCAACAACGCGGAGCUUGUUUCAAUCCAUACAGAGAUUUGCGAAGUCGACACACUUUAUCAGGAUGAGAAUGACGAAAUCCAGGAGGAAGCUUCAUGUAAACUUCUUCGUCAAGAUCACCAUGAAGAAACGCGUUGUGAACAUCCAUUUGGUACAUCUCCCAUUGAUUUGCCGCUACUAAACGAAGGAGUGUACGAACUGUUGUCAUUUUGACCACGGGAGCAAAAGUCUCAGUGUAGUCUUCACCUUCAACUUGAUUAUUGCCGAGAGCAACAAGACGAGCUUUGUAGCGUUCCACUGAACCAUCCGAAUUAAACUUUGUUUUGUAAACCCAUUGACUUCCAAGAGCAGUCUUGUUUGGUGGCAAGUCGCAUAGAUCCCAAGUCUUGUUGAUUUCGAGGGCAUCAACUUCUGUAGUCAUGGCUUUAUUCCAUACAUCAAUUUUUACCGCCUCUUUAAAAUGCUUUGGCUCGACAUUACUUGUAAUAGCCGCCAAGAAAGCCCUAUGACCAGAAGAAAAAUAGUCAUCGGAUAUAUAAUCAGACAAAGGGUAUUGUGACUUACAAGGAACCGAGUUUGAGGACUGAUAUAAAAAAUUGAUUCUUAACUAAAGAAUCGAAAAACUAGAACAGCGGAAGACUUUUAGGUUAUAGAUCUUAGCUCUGAUACCAUGUAAAACUAGGUAUUAAACUCCCUUGAUUUAUUAAGAUGUGAUACAAUGACUUAUAUAGAGAACCUCUCUAGGGUUUACAACAACCGACUAUGACUUGAACAAUAAGUUACGGGCCUAAACAUGUGGCCCAAACUCUAUCCGUAAUAAUUGCUCACAGUUUAUCACAAACUCGACAAAAUUUGGCUAGAAUAUAAUGGUAUCAUAUCGACCAGAAGAUUGGUCCGCUUUUGCGACUGAGCUCUUUGAUCUAAAGCUUUUGCAAUUCUAGUUUCUUUAUUUUGACAUCAUUAGACGAAAAUAAGAUAAUUAGACAGAACAUAAUUUCUCGUUUGAAAUACUAGAAUUGUAACGUUAUCUUUUCUUUGCAAAAAUAUAUUUGUUGUCAUACUGAUUGAUUAGCUAUGGAUGUAAAAAAAACCAUACUAUUUUUUCUUAAUGAAAGAGGAAUUGUUUUUGUUGAAAGAAAACAAAAAUGCUUAUAUGUAUGAAUUCACGAAACGUGUGCUUAUGAUCAAACUCAAUUAUUGGUUGGUAGGUGACCAUAAUGAGAAAAAAAUAAUACCAAUUCACAUAAUAAGAAAAAAAUAAAUGCUCACACGAACCAGAUCUAAAUAAAUGUUUGUUUUCAAUAACACAAACAUAUUGACACACAAAAAAUGGUCAAAUAAUAUUAGGCCCAUAACAUAGUUAAACCCGGCCCAUUAAAAAUAACCGACCCGAAAGCUUCCGGUAAAUGAAACAAGUGUUGUGUACGGUGUACCUGAGAGUGAGCUGUAUAUAAUGCUUGUCUCUGUCACUCCCACUUCUCUCCCAAAUCCUUUUAACACUGAUUUUUGCCGGCAAAGAUUCUUCUUUUUUUCUCCUAUCAACUUCUCAAUGGCUUCCGCUUGCGUGAAAAGUGCCGGUGUUUCGCCGGAGAAGUUUUCGUCGUACGGAUGGACGAGCCCUCGAAUGUCUUUAACCCGAGAAGACAACACACGCUCUUCCUCCGUCGACAAGCAACAAUCUGACCCAUCACCGGAAAACCAAGAUCCAGUUGUGGAUUUCGAGUUUUGUCUCGAAGAUCCGGUCACAAUGCUCUCCGCCGAUGAGCUCUUCUCCGACGGAAAGCUCGUACCUUUGAAGUUCUCUGGCCCCAAGACGACGACGGUCAGCACAACUACCACCGAACCAAGAGGAUCACCGGAGGUUCUUAAAUCUUGCCGGAGACUUGAGAUGGAGAUCUCUGACCUCUUCUCUCCUAAAGCUCCUCGUUGUACGACUCGAUGGAAAGAGCUUUUAGGUCUCAAGAGACUUGUCAACGCCAAAGCACAAGAAUCUGUUAAAGCUUCUUCAUCUUCUUCACCCACAAACGCAAAAACGUCGUCGUUUAAGCAAUUUCUUCACCGGGGAUCUAAAUCUUCCACCACCACCGCCGCCGCCACCGCAACGUCUCCGUUGCAAAAAGAAUCAGAUAUCUCCGAAUCAAUCUCAAUCGCAUCUUCACGUCUCUCACUCUCUUCAUCGUCUUCCUCUAGCCACGAGAUCGAUGACCUUCCAAGACUCUCGCUUGAUCUCGAUAAACCAAGUCCUAAUCCCUUUGCUCCGUCGCGGACUCACUCACGAAACCUCAACCAACCAAGAAUCAGAUUAGCCAAACCAAGACGGCAUAAUCAUCCACCGUCGACGCCUUCCGUUGACGGAUCAUCAUCAUCAUCGGCGAACAUCGAAUCUCGAGGACUCACCGUGACGGCGGAUAGUCCUAGACUUAACGCCUCCGGUAAAAUCGUGUUUCAUGGACUUGAAAGAAGCUCGAGUAGUCCCGGAAGCUUCACCGGUGGACCUAGAAUGAAGCAGCACCAUGGAAUGCCGAGAUCGUACUCUGCUAAUGUCAGAAUCACGCCGGUGCUUAAUGUUCCGGUAUGUUCGUUAAAAUCAGGGCUUUUCUUCGGUCAGCUCUUCUCAUCGUCGUCGUCAUCUUCGUCUUCAUCGUCAUCUUCUCCGUCUCCGGGGAACAAAUCUCAGUUACAGAGCAACGGCGGCAAGAACCGGAUUAAUCGAACCAGGCUUGAACCGAAAUUCGAACAAUUAGAAAAGUAAACCGGAUUGAGGUAAACCGCUAUGACUUUUUAGGCAGAUGGAGGAGAUAGGGGGGAAUCUUAACGCUUGUUUUUCUCGGGGUUGUUUUGUAAACUGAAGUUAAAUUUGGGGACUGGAUAUGUAAAUACGGUUUAACAAUUUAUUUUCUCGGUCUAUCGCAUUAAUCAUAACAUAUUUUCAUAACCUCAUCGAUUGCGUCGUUGAUUUUACUCGGAAAGACCAAACAGCAAUAAAAAUAUAUUUAUCUGUUAAACGAUAAAUUCGAUGAAAUAUUAAAAAAAAAAGUCUGACCAGAAAGUCUGAUGUGCUUGCCAUGUUCGGAGAUUGCUUCAGAAGAUUUCUGUAUGUAUAAAAAUAGUUUUUGACAGAAUAACCAAAAGAUGAUUAAUAAACAAAUAAAGAAAAAUUAUGUGAUUUGUAAUUACUGGUUAGAGGAGAAGUUCCUAGUUUUAAUUAUUCGAGUUACGAAAAAAGCAAAGUAUGCUUUAUCACCUUUUUUCCUAAUAAUGUUUUUGCAUGUGAUCAGUGAAGAUCCAAAUUGCAAAUCCUCCUCGGUUUGGCUUUAAUUGUUUAGCUUGUUCAACUUCAAUAUGUAUUGUUUUAAAUACGACAACUUCAUAAGCUUAAUUUGAAAGAAACAAGAACUUAGUAACUUUUUAACUAAAAAGACAGCUUUGAAUUUGGUUUAAAGCAAAAACUAGCUAGAGAUAAUUAGUAGUAGUACUUGGAAACUGCAUGUGUAGUUAGUAGAGUAGAGAGCAUAUAUAUAGACUAAAAUAGGUCGGUGGACCAAAUCAAGAGGAUCUUCCAUGUCUUCCCAAAACAUAUUAUAGACUCUUUUACUUUUUUUUUUCAAUGUUCAAAAAGUGGACAGCGCCUAGCUAAUCAAACUUUCAAAAGUAUGUUUAGCAUUUUAGGGAUUAGUCACUAGUUUCCAUUAUUGUAAGAUCUAUAGAUGCUCUAAACUAGAUUAGUGAACAUUUAAGACCGUUUAAUGGAUUCGAUUCACUAUGGUUUACUCGGGUACAUAAAAUCGAGUAAUCGAUUGUCUAGACCCGACUUAACGGCAGCCCGAUUUGUUUGGUUGAUUUAUAGUAACACAAUAUAUCAUUGGGCAUCUAUCAACUAACUAAUUAAACAACCGAUUUUAAAACGUUGUAACUUGUUUUCUUAUAUCAAAACUUAAAAGAAAAUGUUGAAGUUUAGUUGAAACCUCUCUCAGUAAUAUCACAUUCUUCUGGAAUCUAUUAUUUGUCUAUAGAUUAUGUUUAUAAUAAUAAUGAAAUUAAAUAAUAUGUGUAUUGGAGAUUUCAAGAGAGUGAAGAGACAACUAAGGUAUAGAUUAAUAAAUGUAAUUAAGGGACAGAUCUCAUGAAAAAAUACUGUAAAGGGUCAAAGCCUGAAGAGAGCUGUCAUUCGUAGUAGCUAGCCUUACAGCUAUAUAAAUCCCGGUAACUAAAUAAGUUAGCUUCAUCGAAUUAUUCUGUUUACAAAAAGAUUAUAUGCUAUUAAAAAAAAAUAUAUAUAUAUAUAUAUAUAUAUAUAUAUAUAAAGUACUUGCUCGUUAUAUUCUGGAACAUCAGUCCUUAAAUCCCAGCCGUUGGAUUCUUUCUUCCCCAAUCACUACAAUAGACGAAGACAAGAAUAAAUGCAAAUUAUACACAUUCUUUAGUUAUUGUAGAAAUUUUCUGAGUUAUAGAUAGAGAGAUAGAGAAUUAUCAUAUCAUACACAGACAAUCACUUCAUUUUGUCAUACUUUACUUCAGUGACAAGUAGCCGUUAGGUCAAAUAAUAGGAUCUAUCAAUAUCAAUUUAUAAACGACAUAACACAUUAAAUUUAAGCCUAUUGAUUUAUUGCUGCCUUUAAAUAAUCAAACCAUCUAUAUAUAUUUAAUACUAUACUCCUACUAUAUUUGCAUGCCAUAAAAUCGAUAUAUAGAUCUGAAAUCAAUGCAUGUGUUUCUUUUUCUUACCGGACCUAUCUUUCUCUUGUCGUUUGUUUGGCUAUAGGAAAAAAUAAUACUAAAAUUCCAAAUUGAAUCACAUUUCAAAUAGUCAAAUACAUUUUCCUAAAUCAUUAAAUACUUUAGUACAUACAAUUAUCUACCAUAAGUCCAUAAUGUCACAUAGAAAAUGGUAAUUAAAAAAGAAAUAGAGGUAAUAGAAGGAUAUGAAUGAGAGAACGUGAUAGUUCCCAGUGUUGUGCCCUCUGUAAAAGAUUCUCUCUCUCCCGAUUGAUACUUUAACUCUGCUCUUUUUGCAUCUGUCUUUUUUCAUACUCAUAAACAGUGUCACGACAAAUGGCUUAAGUAGAGAAAGGCCGACAAAGAAGAAAAAAUUAGUUACAAAUAAUCGUUCUCUACAUUAUUUUAAUCCAUCCAACGGCGAUUAAAUUAAGUUAAAGACAUAAGCUAAUUAUAAUUAAUUAACACUUAAUCCUCCUUUCUUGAUCUCGUUUUCUUUUACAAAAAAACGACAAAAAGACUUAAAAUAUAUUAUACGAUCAAAACCCUAAAACUUAGUAUUAGCUUUGAGAGUUUACUACAAUACAUGGCAUGGCGCUCAAGUUGAGUUUCCCUAUAUUAUAUUUGGUUUUUGCUUUAACUUGACAGUUGACACGUCAUCAAAUAUUUGUAUAUAUUUUGUAAUUAUACCAAUCAAAAACCACAUUUUCUGAAUAGUAUUUGUAAAUAUAUACUAUAAGCUAGCUAUAUUUUGAGUGAAUGACAUAUAUUUGUGCUACGGAACAUAGACAGAGAAGAUAGGACAGCUUGAGCUGGGUUCUUAGCUGUUUGUUACAAAGAACAAAAUGUAAGAUUUGAAUAGUAAUAAUUGAAUGUUUCUAAUAGAAAGAGGUAAGAAGGAAAACAAACAAACAAAUUUUUUGAAAAAACAAAGAAGAUAUAUUUUGUCUUAUAGGUGAAUAUAAAAGUGUAUGAAAUGUGUGUAUCUGUAUGUUUUGGUGUAAACAAGUUGCAAUAAUAUAUAGAGCCAAAUAUUGGAAGUUUAUUAUUGACCGAUGUGUAAAAAAAAUCUGCAGGCCAUUGUCUUGUCCUCUUCUUAUCUCCCUCUGUACAUCUACGUACUUUCUUGUUCUUGUUCCUCUCUCACUUUUGUCUCUCUCUCAAUAUUUAUUACUCUCCUCUCUCUAGAUCGUCGUUUUCAAAUUUUGGUAACAAAAAGAUAUUCAAUGCUAAUUACCAACAGUAAAUAAAAGUUUGAAAAGAUAAAAUAUAGGAGACCUCUAGGCUUAGGUCAGUGAUUAGAGUUUUGGCUUUUUAAGCAUGCAUCGUUGAGUUUAAAUGGAGCAACAAAAGCAAAUAAUAAUUUCUGGCUAGGUGUAACUAUUUCGAAAACUAUUCCAUUACUCGUUGAAAAUAUCAGACUCUCUCUCUGAAUAAAAGCGAUCAAAGAGUUGUGUUACGUCACAUUGUCCGAUUGUCACGUGAUUUUUUAUUUUCAUAGCUACCGAAAAAAGUGGGAACAUAUUAAUUUCUUUGGGAAAAAACCCGAAAAAACCGCCAUCUAUUUUUUUUUUGGCCGUUUAAUACCUGUGUUUUUAAAUUUGGAAUAAAAAUACCUUAUUUAAUUUCGAUUGCCUUUUAAAACUAUCGUUUUUUAAAACUUGGUAAUUUCGAACCCGACACUUAACAGUCGUUACUGGACGUAACGGAAUUAUUUAACGGCGUUAAAUUUUAACCGGGAAAAAACCAAGAAAAACCGCCAUCUAUUUUUUUUUUUGCCGUUUAAUACCUGUGUUUUAAAAUUUGGAAUAAAAAUACCUCAUUUAAUUUCGAUUGCCUUUUAAAACUAUUGUUUUUUAAAACUUGGUAAUUUCGAAUCCGAGACUUAACAGUCGUUACUGGGCGUAACAGAAUUAUUUUACAGCGUUAAAUUUUAACCCCACAUGUUUAUAUAAAUAUAUACAAACUGCUCACAACACAUUACGAGAAUGUCAAUGUGGUUUAGUGGUAGCGUGUGUUUUUUUUUAAACCACCAGAUCCGGGUUUGAAUCUUAAACCUGUUUUUUUUUUCUCUUUGUUCUCCACUUCGAAUAACUUCCCAUCAGUACAAAGUUAAGACUCGAAAUGCAAACAAAAGAUGAAUCAUAGAGCGAUUUCAACAAAUCGAUUCUGCAAUUAGAUCUACCAUUGAAAAAGAACAGCAACUAAAUCGACAUCAAUCAGAUCAGAUCUAUACAUAAAUGGGAUGGAUCUCGGCAAAAACCCAUUAUCAAAAAAGAGAUUCGAGUGAAGAAGAGAAAGAGAGAGAGACUAGUUUGCAUCAUCGGAGAUCUGAGAAGAAGAAGUCGUCGUCACCACCGGCGAAGAAGACGAAGAACACAAAAAGAAACUAAUAAAAAAAAAAAAGAGGUUGAAGUCUUGAAGAGUCAAACCCAGCUUCUAAGGUUUACAAAACUAACAUGCAAACAGAUAGUAUAUAUUUAUAUGCAAACAGAUAGUAUAUAUUUAUAUAAACUCGUGGGGUUAAAAUUUAACGCGGUUAAAUAAUUUUGUUACGUCCAGUGACGACUGUUAAGUUUCGGGUUCGAAAUUACCAAGUUUUUAAAAACGAUAGUUUUAAAAGACAAUCGAAAUUAAAUGAGGUAUUUUUAUUCCAAAUUUAAAAACACAGGUAUUAAACGGCCAAAACAAAUAGAUGGCGGUUUUUUCGGGUUUUUUGCCGGUUAAAAUUUAACGCCGUUAAAUAAUUCCGUUACGCCCAGUAACGACUGUUAAGUGUCGGGUUCGAAAUUACCAAGUUUUAAAAAACGAUAGUUUUAAAAGGCAAUCGAAACUAAAUGAAGUAUUUUUAUUCCAAAUUUAAAAACACAGGUAUUAAACGGCCAAAAAAAAUAGAUGGCGGUUUUUUCAGGUUUUUUCCCUAAUUUCUUUUAUAUUUCUUGGUCUUUCGUAUGUUUGGCUUUUCAUGGCGUUUUAGGUGUGUCUACAAAAGCACACUUGUCUUCUUUACCGUUCUGAGGAAAAAUGGCUUUGUUUCUAUUUUCGGAUAUUUUAUCAAAGAAAACAAGGUCCGGAUUAGGCCACGUACGACCCGGUUAUGAGUUUCCGAUUCAAAAUAAUGAGGUUUAAAAUACAAUGGAUCACAAAUUGAAAUAAGGCUCAUAAAUAGAUUCAUGAGGCCAUUAUCGGCCCAAUAGCAACUUUGAACUUAUAGAUAGAGAGAGUAAACCGGUUUGAAAAACGAGAAAAAUCAACCCAACUCCUCAAUGGCAGAGCGGAGAGCUCGGUUAGGGACAAAGUUGAGAUGUGGAAGCGGGAGAUUUGUCAUCGGUGAGGUCUGGUGACCUGUGUUAAUCCAAUUCUUAAUAGCUUCUAAUUCGUAUGUGAAUCCAUCAGCAGCCAUGUGUGGAUCUUGCAUGACCUCCUGCGACAAAUAUAAACCACAUUAUCUUGUUAAAAAAAGUCUAUACAAGAUUAUUUUUGAGUGGUAUGCAAGUUAUCUUCUUGUGGAGUUAUACCUGUGUGAUAGGGCAGAAAAAUGAAGGUGGAGGUUGUUGCUCGUCCACUAUCUCUUGUGCUGUUUUGAGAGCAUUGUCCCUCUCUUGUCGCAUCGCAUCUGCUUCUUGUUUGUACGAUUCGACUAGUCCUUUGACAGUCUCGAGCUCUGUUUUUUUAGUAGAAAGAGCAUCCUCUUUUUCUUUUCUAAUAAUUGACUCUUGGUCGUACUUGUCUUGCCAUGUUAUCACCAGCGAAUUCAGGUUCUCUUGUUCUGUGACACAAGUUUCAAGCAGUUCUUUUAUCCCCUCCAACUCUUUCCUUUCUUUAUCCAGCGCAGUUUCUGAUUCUCUCCUGAGUACCACUUCAUUCUUGUAUUCGCUCUCGAACUCCUCAGCCUUCCAACGCAUAAAAUCACCUUCUAUGGCUACCGCGAUUUCAGUUUCUGUCCUAAGCUGCAACCCUGCUUCAUGUUUGUGCUCCAAGGCUUCUACUUGAAGUUGCAAUUGACCUUGUUUUUUCUCGUAAGGCUCAAGUAACCGUUCCGUCAAAUCUACUACUUCCUUAAACUUUCUAGCAAGUGCAUCUUCUGCUUCCUUCCUAAGAUUGACUUCGACUUCGUCAUUGUACUUAUUCUCCAACUCUAUAGUAGCCUGUAAAUUAAGCUGCCAUUAGAGACAUAUAUACAUGCAUACCAACACGAUUAUGUUUAGAAGAUAUCAAUCAUGUCUUUGGAUGGUUGUGUUACCCGAGAACUUAAAAAAAGCUGAUUGAAAUUUUCAUCAGAAAACUGUAAGUCAGCUAGUUUUCCAAUGGUGGACAGAAAUAAUUUCAUUGCAUCAGUGCUCCUCUCAGGUGGCAAGAUGGGAUUCAUCAGCACCUACAUUACAAUUAGUACUUACUAUGCUCUUUAUUAAACCCUUUAAUUAAUUAGAAGCAGGUCCAAGAGUGAAAAAAAAAGGCAAACCUGAAUUAUACUUUUCCGUGUUGUUCCAGUGAUCUUCAUAUUCUUGAAAACGUCAGCCAAAACCCUAACAGUUUUGAUGAAUCUCCAAUAAUUUGAUUCAUCAACAUAAACAAGUGGAAGAUCUGUUUCGAUGGAGAAGUUUUCAAGCUCUAUUUGGCAUUUACGCAAAAACUGUCUCUCCAAAGAUGUAAUUUCGCCGUGAGAUUCAUCUGAUGGACACUACAAGAAUAUUGAGUUUUAAUAGCAUUAAAAGAUAACGAUUUAUGUAUUUAUGCUAUAGUUGAUUUACCCUUAACUCUUUUGUAGCGUUUCUAAAUUGAUACACGCUAUAAUAUGUUAUGCAGAUAAAAAGUUAUGCGCUGGCUCAAUUUUUUCGCUCAAUUUUUUUUUAACAUGGUAUAUGAUAGCAUAUAUACACAACUAAAACGUUAUGGAAAAAUUAGCGGGAGAAAAGAAGUCAGUGACCGCCUAAACUAAAAUUGGGCUCUAGAAACUCUUAUCCACAAACCCUUAAUUUUUUAUUUUUCUUUCACUUUAUUCAUCAGGCUAAUGAAACCGUCUAUCUUCUUUGACUUCUCUUCAUCUCCGUUACUCUAUUCUCGCUCAAUCCACUUCUCCUCUUUGCUUCUUAGUCUCUUCGUUUCUUCAUCUUCUUCACCUCUUCCUCUUCUCCCUCUUUUCUCGUCUUCUCCAGCAAACUCAUUUUUCCAGAUCUAAUUUUUUUUUUUUUUUUUCAGAUCUCGUCGCCGCUUAUGAUGUACCGCCAAAGUAAUCGAAGAAGACGUAACGAGAGAUGUUAUGCUAGUUUUCCGAUAGUUACAAGGGAUCUCCGCCUUCCACCCUAGCUCCAUCAUUGCCUCUUAGAUCUGUCGCCGUUUCCACAUCUUAGCCGCCAGUGAGUCUCUUCCGAAUUCUUCUUAAUGUUUGAGAUAUUAAUUUAGGGUUCUCCAAUUUGUGCUUUUCAUCCAUAACUCUUACGAUUUUUUAACUCUUUGUGUUGGUUUUUUUUCUUCUAAUUUGAUUUAAUUGAGCCACGAGGAUGGAUGUAUUUGGUUCGAUUUUUGAAGGAAUUGAUGUUCUCAGAGAUGAAAGUGAGGGAUAAUUAGGAAGAAAUACGAUCCUUUUCGUCGGAGCAUUGGAUCUGUGUGGCCUCUCGAUGGUAGAAGGGAGGAGUCCUAACAGCGAUUGAUGAAGAGAUGAGCGAUAUUGUGAGGAUUAAGACAACAGAUCGUGAAGAUAGGUGAUGAAUCAAGUUGAGGUGAAAUCAGAUUCGAGGUUAGGGUUUAAUCUUUAAUUUGUACUAGUUUAAGGGUAGUUAUCAAGCGGAAUUUUUCUGUGUGCUUUUAUUUUGUUCUCUGAGAAGCUAAGUUGUAUAUUUGAUUGAUGUUUUUUGUUUAAUGUAGGCAUUGAGAUUCUUAAGUACGUUGACACUGUUACUCCGAAAUACAAGCCAAAGUUUGAUGCUUUGGUGAGCAAAUAGAUGAGAAACUCGAUUGCUAAUGUUUGUUUUAUUAUAAGUUUCUCUUCUAUAAGAUCUUUUCAGUUGACUUAACUUUGUGUCAUGUUUGUGCCAUGUUUCAUGCUAUAUCUAGUUGAUGCAACUUGUAAGGUUAAUCAAAAGUUGUGAUUUAUCAUUUUGUUUUAAAUCUAUACAUGCUAUUCUAGGUCAAAGGGAGGCGUCGUGGAAUCUGUUCUUGUAUGCAACUUGAAAAGUUGAGUUAGGAGAGGAGGAUGGGAUAGAACUAAGGUAAACAAACCAACAUUUCUUGUGAAUUCCAAUUUUUCCGUACUCUUUGCUUAACUUUUUCUUAUUUCUUUUGUCAACUCUGGGCAGAGAGUUGCAAUAUGUCGUGUGUCUUCAAGUGAUCGAGCAGAGAAGGUCCAUUUCAUCCCUUUAGGUUCCAACGCUAGCAAGGUCUGGGUAGAGGUUUUCAAGGUUGAUGGUGCACGAGUGUGGAGAGCAAAUUGAGAAUUUGAAACAUUUGCAUGGGUUUUAUAUAUGAAGUACUUUGAACUCCUUAUCUUGGUGUUUUAUAAUAUGUAGAGCUUAGGUUUGACUCUUCAUGACAAAUAAAUGAAGUAUUUUGAUUAAAUAUACUGUUUCUUAUACCCAGAUUUAUAUAUAUUGAUUCAAAUUAGUAUAAAACAAAUAGAAAUGGUUAUAUUUAUAUAAAAAUAGCAAUUCCAAAAUGUUGUUAAUAAUAUCAUUAAUAACAACAAAAAUACGCUAUUAUAUAAUAUUUAAUUACAUUCAAUUAAACGUUAUUGUAUACGACAAUACGAUAGCAGAACAAAAAAACGUAAUCUAAAGUGUCUGACCUAUUAUGACGGGCGCAGAUAUAGCGUUUGUCAAAAUGCUAUAGAAUAGUUAGAUAGCGUUAUUCGGAUGCUAAGAAAAGCCAUUUUUCUUGUAGUGGGAAGAGGGGGAAGCUCUUGAAAAAGCUCUACGCAUAAACGAGCGAAUAAUACAUAGGACUUUUCCACCGUUGCCAUAUAUAUCAACAAACGCAAGACACUAGAGACUGCAACAUAUAUAUAGAAAUACAUAUUCAUUAGUGACCAAACCAUUAGAAAAACAUACAUAUUAGUGAUCAGAUUAACCAUUAGAUAAAAAACUCUCGUAUGUCUACAAAAAGCGACAGAAGAACCUUCAAGAUAAAAGCGGAGGGAGUUAAUAUUACUGUAUGAACAAUUUCAUCCUUGUUCUUUUCGAAGUUGCGUUGAGUCAACCAACAAACCCUAGAUACCACCUCGAAGAAUAAUAGAAGUUACACAUAAUAAGUGAUACUGUAUAUACGAAAAGAUAUUAUAUGAUAUUUACAUAAGAGCCCCUACUAUCAAUCAAUAUGAAAAAGAACGGUAUUUACAUAAGAGCUUAUUUAUACCAAACUCCCAAAACGAAUACGUUCAUAUACAAAAUAUUAUCAAAUAAUUAGUAUUUCGAAAGUUAUAAUAUUCCUGCCAAAUGAAAAAAAAGAAAAAAAAAAAACAACUUGACUUGAUACGCUUAACCGUUUUGAUUUUUUACAGCUCUAGCUCCUCUUGGUUCAAACUUAUACAGAUGAAACUCGGGCGAGAUUCCAAGAUCGCCGGAAUAACUCUUCUUCUUCGAUAACUAGUCACUCUGAAUUUCUCUCGAGAAACUACAAAAGUUGACCAACGUUUAAACAUUUUCUUGUCAUCAUGUACAACAAGUAUGACGUGUAUUGGAUUUUUAUUUUCUUUGCUACCUAAAAACGUGGGAACAUAUAAAAUUUUUGGCUUUCUUUUAUAUUUCUUGGUCUUUUGUUUGUUUGGCUUUUCAGUUUUCAUGGCAAUUUAGGUGUUUACGCACACAAGUCUUCUUUACCGUUCUGAGAAAUGACUUUGUUUUUAUUUUCGGAUAUUGUAUAAAAGAAAACAAGGUCCGGUUAUGAGUCUCCUAUUCGAAAAAAGGUUUAGAAUACAAUCAAUCACAAAUUGAAGUAAGACUCAUAAAUAGACUCAUGGGCCCAUCAUAGGCCCAAUAUCAACUUGGUACUUACAGAGUGAACCAGUUAGCUAAACAAGAAGAAUCAAAGCAACUCCUGAAUCGCAGAGUAGAGAGCACGGUUAGGGACAAGGUUGAGAUGUGACAGUUUGAGAUUUGUCAUCGGCGACGUCUUGUGACCUGUGCUAAUCCAUUUCUUAAUAGCUUCUAAUUCGUAUGUGAAUCCAUCGGCAGCCAUGUGUGGAUCUUCCAUGACAUCCUGCGACAAAUAUAAACCACAUUAACAUGUUAAAAAGUUUACAAGACUUUUGAGUGUUAUGCAAGUUAUCUUCUUGUAGAGAAUUAUAUGGUCUCGCCUGUGUUAUAGGGCAGAAAAAUGAUGAUGGAGGCUGACGAAGGCGCACUGUCUCUUGUGCUGUUUUAAGAGCAUUGUCCUUCUCUUGUCGCAUUGCAUCUGUUUCUUGUUUGUACGAUUCGACAAUUCCUUUGACAAUCUUGAGCGCUAGUAUUUUAGUAGAAAGCGAAUCCUCUGUUUUUUUUCUAAUAAUUGACUCUUGGUCGUACUUGUCUUGCCAUGUUAUCACCUGUGAAUUCAGGUUCUUUUUUUCUAUUAUUACAGUUUCAUGCAGUUGCUUUAACCCCUCCAACGCUUUCACGUCUUCUCUCCUGCGUGCCAGUUCUUCGUUGUAUUCGCUCUCGAAAUACUCAGCCUUCCAACGCAUAUAAUCACGUUCUAUGGCUAACGCGAUUUCAGUUUCUGUCCUACGCUGCAACUCUGCUUCAUGUUUGUGCUCCAAGGCUUUAACUUGAAGUUGCAAUUUACCUUGUUCUUCCUUGUAAGACUCAAGUAACUGUUCCAUCAUCUCUACUUCUUCCUUUGUUCUAGAAAGUGCAUCUUCUCCUUCCCUAAGCUUGACUUCGACUUCGUCAUUGUACUUAUUCUCCAACUCUAUAGCCUGUAAAUCAAGCCUAGAAGUCAGCUAGUUUUCCAAUGGAGGACAGAAAUAAAUAUAUUAAUUGCUUAGGUAUUCCUCUCAGGUGGUAAGAUGGGAUUCAUAAGCACCUACAUUACAAUUAGUACUAUGCUCUUAAUUAAACCCUUUAUUAGUAGAUCCAAGAGUAAAAAGAAAUAAAAGGCAAGGCAAAGGCAAACCUGAAUUAAACUUUUCCGUGUUGUUUCAGUGAUCUUCUUAUCCUUGAAAACUUCAGCCAAAACCCUAACUGUUUUGAUGAAUCUCCAAUAGUUUGAUUCAUCAACAUAAACAUGUGUCAGUGGUUCUGUUUUGGGGGAUGAGUUUUCAAGCUCUACUAGGCAAUUACGCAAAAACCGUCUCUCAAGAGUUGUAAUUUCGCACUGAGAUUCAUCUGAUGGAAGAUGGGGAAGCUCAUGAAAAAGCUCUACGCAUAUACGAGCUACAUAGGAGUUUUCCACAGUUUCCAUAUCCAAAAACGCAAGACAAUAGAGACUGCAACAUGUAUUUAAUAUAUACAUACAUAUUAGUGAUCAAAUUAAACCAUUAUAAAAUGUCUCAUAAGUCUAUAAAAAGCGACAGAGAACGUAACCUUCAAGAUAACAGCCGAGGGAGAUGCUCCUAUUGUAUGAACAAUCUCAUCCUUAAUGAUCUUGUCGAAUUUGCGUCGUGUCAACCAGUUGAGUAAACUACAAGAAUGAGACAGGAUUUGUUGAUGAUAGUAAAACCCUGAUCUAGAACUCACCGAGGGAGAUCUCAGCCAAGAAAGUGAUUACCAAGGAAGAAGAAUCACUUCCAAGGAUUGAGAAUCUAUAAUCGUAACACGGAGAUUUAAGGGUUUUGAUAAUUUGAUUGAUUGGGUUUUUAGAAAGUCGCUAAAGCCUUACAUAUUUAACUAAAUCAAGAGAUCAAAGAGCCCAAACCAUGUUAUUAACGGGUUUAUCCUAUAACAAAAUCAUAACUAACUAAACCAUAGAUCAGAGAGUCCAAACCAAGUUAUUAACUGUUAAAUUCGGGCUUAUCAUGGGCUUCCAACUCAAAACCAAUUGGCAAUUAGUGGAUUGGCCCUAACACUUUAUAUCACUUAAUAAUUUCUCCAACUUCCGAUGUGGGACUUUCUCUCAUUAACACCCCCCUCACGCUCAUGCAUCGUUGGCUCUGAAGCGUGGGCAUAUGUGGGAACAACAUCCACGGGGUGGCCCGAUAUGGGACUUCAAUAACACCCUCCCUCACGCUCAGACAUGAACAUCUGAAGCGUGGGCAUAUGUGGGAACAACAUCCACAGGGUGGCCAACGAUCGGUGGCUCUGAUACCAUGUUAAAUUCGGGCUUAUCAUGGGCUUCCAACUCAAAACCAAUUGGCAAUGAGUGGAUUGGCCCUAACCCUUUAUAUAUCACUUAAUAAUUUCUCCAACUUCCGAUGAGACUUUCUCUCAUUAACAUUAACCGGUUUAUCCUAUAACAAAGAACUCGAAAGGCAAAAUCAAUCCACAAAUUAAGGAUCAAUGAGAAUGGUCUGCCACUCUGGCUAAUUAUUAAGUAAAUACACAAACCCUAGAAUAAUAGAAAAAUAACAUAAUUAGAGAUACCAAAAGAUAUUAUAUGGUAAUUUACUUAAGAGCCCUAGUAUCAAUUAAUAUGAGGAAAUAAGGGUUGUGUUAUAUUUGUAUAGUUCAUCUUAUAUUGUAGAGCUUAUUUUAUAUAGAACUCCUAAAACGAAUCUAAAUCAUUAGCUGUUAUAUUGUUAUAAGAUACCCAAAUAUUGUACAUAUACACUUAUAUAUUAUAUAAUAAAAACACCCAUAUAUAAUCUACAAAAUAUUAUCAAAAAAUUAAUAUUUGUGGAACAAAAACUUUAAAAUUUGGUAUUUUAGAGAAUUGCCCAUUUAUAAUCGACAAAAUAUUAUCAAAGAAUUAAUAUCUCAAGACUAUAAAGUUAUAUAUCUAAAUAUUAUCAAAACAUUUUAUACAAUAAUGAGUUUCCGACUAAGAGAGAUUUUAAAAUACUUGGGAUCACAAAUUCAAGGAAGACUCAUAAAUAGAGUCGUGAGACCAUUUUAUAGACUAAAUCUUCUAACUUCUAAUUGUAAACCGGUUCGAAAAUUAGGAAGAAUCAAACCAACUCCUCAAUCGCAGUCCGGAGAGCACGAUUAGGGACAAGAGUGAGAUGUGGAAGCGGGAGAUUUGUCAUCGGCGACGUCUGGUGACCUGUUCUAAACCAUUUCCUAAUAGAUUCUGCUUCGUAUGUGAAUCCAUCGGCAGCAAAGUGUGGAUCAUUCAUGACCUCCUGCGACAAAUAUAAACAAUACGAGAUUGAGUGUUAUGCAAGUUAUCAUAUUCUUGUAUAAGAUUUGUGCUUGCCUGUGUGAUAGGGUAGAAAAACGAUGAUGGAGGUUGACGCUUUUCCAUUAGCUCUUUUGCUGUUUUGAGAGCAUUGUCCCUCUCUUCUCGCAUCGCAUCUGCUUCUCCGUUGUAAAAUUCUAGCAGUCCUUUGACUAUCUGAAGCUCUUCUUGUUCUCUAGAAAGUGCAUCCUCCCCUAGUUUCCGUAGACGACACUCUUGCUCGUACUUGUCCUGCCAAGUUCUGACCUCUGAGGUCAGACUCUCUUGCUCUGUUUUGUAGGUUUCAAGCAGUAGCUUUACUUCUUCCAACUCUUUCCUUUCUUUAUCCAGCGCACUCUCUGAUCCUAUCCUGAGAAUCAUCUCACCCUCGUACUUGCUUUCGAACUCUUUAGCCUUCAAACGCGUAUCAUCGCGUUCAUUUUCAACAGUUUCCAGUUGAAUCUUUACCUUCUCUAACCUCUCCCGUUCUAUGGCAAGCAAGGUUUCAGUUUCUUUCCUAUGCCUCAACUCUGCUUCAUGCUUGUGCUCCAAGGCUUUAGCUUGAAGUUGCAAUUUACCUUGUUCUUCCUUGUAAGACUCAAGUAAUCGUUCCAUCAUCUCCACUUCUUUCUUUUUUCUAGCAAGUGCAUCUUCUGCUUCUUUCCUAAGCUUUACUUCGUCAUUGUAAUUUCUCUCUAACUCUACAGCCUGUAAAUCAAGCUAGCGUUAGAGAGAUAUACGCAAACCAAAAGAUUAAGCUUUUAGAUAUAUUCAUGUCUUCCGAUAUAAAGGUACGUUACCCGAGAACUUCGAAUUAGCUGAUUGAAAUUUUCAUCAGAAAAAUGGAAGUCAGCUAGUUUUCCAAUGGUGGACAGAAAUAAAUUCAUCGCAUCGGUGAUCCUCUCAGGUGGUAAGAUGGGAUUCAUAAGCACCUAUACAUUACAAUUGAAAUUAUCAUGUGCUCUAAAUUAAAUCCUUAAGUAGAAGCAGAUCCAAGAGUGAAAAUAAAUAAAAAACGCAAGGCAAGUCAAGGCAAACCUGAAUUAUGCUUUUACGGGUUGUUUCAGUGAUCUUCUUAUUCUUGAAAACUUCAGCUAAAACCCUUACGGUUUUGAUGAAUCUGUAACAGUUUGAUUCAUCAACAUAAACAAGUGGUAAAUGUUCUGUUUUGGGGGAUGAGUUUUCAAGCUCAAUUCGGCAUUUACGCAAAAACAGUCUCUCAAAAGUUGUAAUAUCGCCGUGAGAUUCAUCUGAUGGAAGAGGAGGAAGCUCGUGAAAAAGCUCUACGCAUAAGCGAGCGAAUAAGACAUAGGAAUUUUCCACCAUUGCCAUAUCGAAAAUGCAAGACACUAGAGACUGCGACAUAAAUAAAAAUACCAUUAGAAAAGUCUCAUAAUAUAUUUAUCAACAAAAAGGGACAGAGAACCUUCAAGAUAAAAGCAGAUGGAGAUGAUCUUAUUGUAUGAACAAUCUCAUCCUUGAUCUUGUCAAAGGUUGCGUUGCGUCAACCAGUUAAGUAAACUACACGAAUUAAAAAGCAAAACGAAUCAAGAAAUGUUACCAAGAAGAAAUAGCUACAACUUUGAAAACGAAUCCAAACUAGCCAUAUCUAUUAAUUACAUUGUUACAAGAUAUACAAGAAUUAGUAGCCAAGAAGAAAGAGUUCCAAAGCUUUUUUUACCUCUUUAAUUUUUCCAGCAUUCGCUUCUCCUCCAUCGAACAUACACCGAUGAAACUCCGGCGAGAAUCCAUGAGCAUAAGAUCUCCGGAAUUCUUCUUCUUCUUCUACUUCUUCUUCUUCUUAUUGUGCAACUCUGAUUUUCUGCGCUUCUUGAGAAGCUAAAAAGUUGACUAAAAACGUUUAAACUUCUUCUUGUCAUGCAGAGCAAGUGUGACGUGUCUCUCCUUCACUGGAUUUUAAUUAACUUCGGCCCAUAAGAUGGAAAUUUGACUGAAUUCAGUAGACAGGCCCAUUUAGUGGCCCAUUGAUGGUGGAAACCCUAGCUAUAAAUAGAAGAGACUCUCUCUCUUCAUUUAUCAUUUCUCUUUUCUUUCUAGAGAAAUCGGCGAAUCUGUAACUAAGUACCAACAACAACAAUGAGAGCCAAGGUAACAUCUUCGUCUUCUCCGAUUCAAUAUUGUUCUUUGUGUUUGAACUCACUAGCGUUAGAUUCAUCGAUUAGAUUAUCUAAGACGCAUUCAUUUAUGGAUACAUAUGAUAUACGUACGUAUAGAGAAAGGUAUAGAUAGAGUUAUAUACUAUAUUGCCUGUGUUAUACGUCUUUAGUAAAGCCGUACAAGAAGAUCUUAGGAUUGUGUUUUUGAUAUUAGAACUAUUAAGAAUUGAUAAUCGAUUUUGCAUCACAUUGCGUCCAAAAGAUAUUUUUGUUCAUAUUUUACAUGUUAAAUUUGGUGUAUUGAGAUUUUGCAAAGGUUAAUCUUGAUUGGAACGAUCUCUGUGCCAUAAAACCCAUUACAGUUUCUUGAAACCGUAGUUCUUAUAGGUUGGGUUAGGUUAGGUUGUAAUAAUCUCUCCAUUUAUUAUGUCCUGUUUCUUUCAUUCUGUGUAUUGUUGUUAUUCAGUAAUAAUGACGACAUUGGUUAUGGUUUUUGGAUAUUAUUGCAGUGGAAGAAGAAGCGUAUGAGGAGAUUGAAGAGGAAGCGUCGAAAGAUGAGACAGCGAUCCAAGUAGAGACCACCAACAACCAAGUUCCUCCCCCUAAUAACUCUCUCGGCUCUCUGUGAUUCUGUUUUGUCUUGAGACUUUCUUUUUAGCAAACAAACCUUUUUCUUUUUAGUAUCGAGUUUUGAACAUUCUGGGAUGUAUGUAAAACUUGCGUUUGUGCUCUUAUCUAUAAUCAAUCACAGAUCCUUUUAUCUUAUCAUCACUGUUUUCAGUAUGGGUGAAGCUUAUUUUUGACUAAUUGUUCAGACAACAAACAAUC
rnacentral:lncRNA from 1 species